rnacentral:lncRNA from 1 species
GCAUUGCGGAGCUCGCUAGUUGGGGCGUUGGCCUUCCUUAGGAGUGUGAGUCUAGCGUUAUCCCUUUUUUCCGGCUGGAUCCCGGGUUACCCCACCAGCCCGACCUCAACCCACUCACGUCCACAGCACGAGCCCCAGCGGCCUUGCGCGGUGCUUGCUCUCUAGUAGCGGCUGACUAGAUGUACAGAAAGAAGGUGAUGUGAAGACACCAGGAGAAGAUGCACAAAUUAAAAAAAGAGGCUUCAGAAGAAACCAACCUUGCUGGCAUCUUGAUCUCAGAUCUCCCGCCUCCAGAACUGUUAGUUCACUGAUUGAGAAGCGUUUUGCAGGACUCGUGCCCUGAGACCUUUCUGGUUGCAGAGAGUGGCCAUGGAGGCCUCCUGUCUCCGAACUGCCUCCUCACCAGCCUCCUCAUCUGGCUUCUGCAUGCAACCGCCACCUCUCGAUGUAUUUAUCUUUCAGUGGCAUAUUUGUAUAAUUUAAAUUUAGUAGAUCCUUUAAAAAAUGUAUGUUAUAAAAGUUUAAAACUCAAAACUGAAGAGAAUAUAAUCUUGUCAUGGCUUUUCUUGCACAUUCAGAGCAAGCGGCUCUGCCUUCCACCUUGCUCUCUGCUGUGUGGCCAGGCUUCUCUCAGUGCCCUUGGUACAUUUCCGGAGUCCCCUGUGCCCGGUAGAACUCUCGCCUGUAAGCUGUGCUUUGCUUGUGUUCACUUCAAUGUAGACAGAUGGCUAGGCCUCGUUCCAGCCGCUCCUUUGCAAAGGAUAUGGAUUCUGUUUUCUCCUCAGAAGUGUGACCCAGGGCCCUAUCCAGGGCACAGUGACAGUGGGGACAACCCCGGGUCUCAGGCUCUUCCUCCAGGGCCCCAGCUAGCGUCCCUCUGGCCCGUGCUCUGCAUCUUGCUGGAGAGGUCUCUGCUCUUGGAUUGUGUUUUGACUUUGCCUGAGCUUCCAGCUCAACCCCCUCAGACAACAUUUCUCCAAAGCAGGAACGAUUUGUGGAAAUUCUCAACAUUUUUUUCACUCUGUUUUGGGGGCCUAGGGUCCAUGAUAGGGAGCUAUGCCAAGUCAUGGCAGAGUGUUCUUUUUCUGUUUUCUUAUUUCAUUAUGGUAGCAUGAAGUUGUACACGUUUCUGUAUUGGGUUCUUGCUCUUGCUCUUUUUGCUGCUGUCAAUAAUUAUUGUUGAUUACAUCAGAUGUUGGAGGAGGUGAAUUCUGGGUGCCUGUUUUACUUCACAGCCAUUGCUGUUUUAAUAAGAAGAUGGGGCUGGCUAACACGGUGAAACCCCAUCUCUACUAAAAAAUACAAAAAAUUAGCUGGGCAUGGUGGCGGGUGCCUGUAGUCCCAGCUACUCAGGAGGCUGAGGCAGGAGAAUGGUGUGAACCCGGGAGGCGGAGUUUGCAGUGAGCUGAGAUGGCGCCACUGCACUCCAGCCUGGGCUACAGAGCGAGACUCCAUCUCAAACAAAAACAAACAAAAAAAAUAAAAAGAUGGGGAAUUAAAAUAUCAUGCCCUGCCAUCUUGUGAUCCUUUUAACUCAGGAGUCCUUUUUAACUGGAAAACACAGAGAUGUCUCUACUAUUUCAAGAAGCUAUUAGAUAUGUCCUGUUUUUCUAUGCCAUUCACUUCCCCUGAAUUGCUCUGAGACCUACCCUGUGCUCGUUGGUGCAGUGGGAGUGAUCUAACCUUUAAGGGGAUAGCUGUUCCAGCCUACCGAGAUGACCCCACUAAACACGGGGUAAUGCUAGCCGGGAGAGAAACCAAAACAGUAGAAAAAUGAAGGAGCCAGCAGGUUUAUUGUAAAGAGUUUAAUUGCCUACUGUUACAGACAGAAAUGGAAGCAAGUGAGGAAAAUACAUAUAGAUGCUUUUGAACCAAGUUUCCUAACUCCCAGGACAGACAUUUUUUCCCCCAUUUUAUCUGUAUGCUUUUCUGCCAUCCCUUACUGGCCCCUGGAUGGUUACUUUCUGUUUUUAGAAAUGGGAAAUUAAUACCUAGUCCUCAGGUUAGUUCAGUUCAGUCUAAGAAUUGAGUAUCAAUGAAGGACAUAAUUUAUUCACUGUACAAAAGACCACCCAGCUACAAUGCCCAGCUUCAUCAGUUAUAACUGGGAUUAAUUAAGUGGAUUUUCAUAUCUCCUCCCUUUUUAUUGUUCAUAAAGCUUCCCACCUAAGACUGAUAGUGCUGUCAACAGCUCUGUUGAGGCCAGGCACAGUGGCUCAGUUAUCCCUGUUAUCUCAGUGCUGUGGGAGGCCGAGGCAGGAGGAUCAAUUGAGGCCAGGAGUUUGAGACCAGCCUGGGCAACAUAGUGAGACCCUGUCUCUACAAAUAAAAAUAAAACCUAGCAGGGCAUGGUGACAUGCUCCUGUGUCCUAGCUACUGAGGAGGUUGAAGUGGGAGGAUCUCUCGGGCCCAGGAGUUGAAGGCUAUAGUGAACUAUGAUUCUAGCCUGGGUGACAGAGCAAGGCCCUGUCUCUCUGUUAAAAAACAAAAACAAACAGAAAACAGCUCUGUCCAAGGGGUUGGGAGAUCCUCGAUGAAGGAAGAGAAGAUAAUUGGUUGGGUCUGGAGUAUACAAGGACUUCAGGUUCUAGCCAUGGCGGAGAAACUGGAGCAAGACCUGCACUCCCAAUACCAAAAAUGAGAAAACUGGACAAAAUAUGGGAAACAACUCUUUCAGACACUGGGAAACAGGAAAUACAAGACUAUGAUUCAUAAGGGGAGGGUAAAAAAAUAAAGUGAGUCUACCCCCUCAGAAUUCUGCUUGAAAGGCAGUUUUCAAACCAAAGCCACAAGGUAAGGGGAAAAGAUUAUAUGCAGAGAAUGGUAAUUAUUACUGACCAGGAAGAUAGAGAUGGGUGGAAUUUCUAGGGCAUACUAGCAUAGAGGAGGGUGCUAAAUGGAAAAAGAGCUCUAGAAAUCUGCAAAGAGCUCCCAUUGCAUCUAUUGAGGAAAACCAAUAGUGCCUAUGUAAGAUGCAACACCAUGAGGCUGGGCUAACAAUGACCAGGAGCUGUAAGAUGAACAAUUCGCAGAGGACACAAGGGCUGGGAGACUAUGAGUUCUAACCAGCCAGGUGGAGAGUCCUCCUUGACUGUAUGGGACAUUUAGUGGAAACCUCAGGAGGGUGGCAUCUUAGUAACAGGGCUAAAUUUGCCAUAGUGUAAAGAUUUAUACAAAAAAAGGAAGGAAAAAAUUAAAGCUACACACUUGAAAUUAAAAAUUAUGUUUGACAUCCACUGAAAAUUACAAAACAUGCAAGAAAGCAGAAAAAUGUAGACUUGUAACCAGGAGAAAAAUCAGUCAACAGAGGCAGAUGCAGAGAUAGCAGAGAGGAAAGACUUAAGUGAGUGACUUUAAAAAUCAUUUGUAAAAAUAAGCCCAAGGAUUUAAAGAAAAUUAAACAUAAUGAAAAAAUCAAUAGAAAAUGUUUUAACAAGAACCAAACAGAACUUCUAGAGCUGAAAAACAUAUCUAGAAUGAAAAAUAUCCACUAUAGGUGUAACAUCCAAUGAGAACUUCAGAAGAAAAGAUCAGUAAAUUUGAACACAGCAAUAGAAACUAUGAUAGUAGAAGCACAGAGAGAAAAGGAGAUUGAAAAUGAGCCCAACAUUGGUGAACUGUGGGCAGAAAUAUAUUGGCAAAUUUUAACAAAUACCUUUAUGGAGAAAAAAGCCUCAAUCCAUAGCAUUGGCCAAUUUUCAUGAUGUAAAUAUUCCCACUCUGGCUGAUUUCAAGGUGCCAAUGUGACAUCAAUGAAUACAAAAUUUUCCAAAUUUGACUAAUUAUAAACUGACGUAUCCAAUAAGCUCAAAAAACCUAAAUAAAAGACAUAGUAGAAAAAGAUAAUCUUAAAAAGCCAAAUUUUAAAAAGUACACAUAUAUACAGAGGACUAAAGAUAAAACCAAGAGCAGAUAUAUCAUAGGAAGCAAUUAAGGGCAGAAUCACCUCUUUAAACCACUAGUUGGGGUGGGGAGUGAGAGGAGGGAGUAUGAACCUCAAAUUCCAUAUCCAUUGGGAAUGUUCUUCAAAACCAAGGAAUUAUACUUUCUUCAUCAGAAAGCUAGAAAAAAUGAGAAUAUUAACACCAAAGUAAGUAGAAAGAAGCAAAAAGUAAAGAUAGACUUUUAAUAAAACAAGGGUCAGCAAAUCACAACUUUUCAGGCAAAAAUAUGGCUUCACACUGUUUUUGUGAAUAUUUGCAUUUGAAAAUAGUCCCACUCAUUCAUUUACUUAUUGUUGUCUAGUGCUGCCUUACAAAUCAUAUGGCCAGCAAACCUAAAAUAUGUAUUAGUUAUUUACAGAAAAAUUCGCUACCCCUAGAAACAGACAACAGAGAUAAAUCAAUACAACUAAAAGGAUUCUUCAAAAAAUCAAUCUCGAUAAAUCUAUUGCUAAACUGAUCAGAAAAAAAAUAGAAAUUUCCAAUAUUAGGGAUGAAAGAAAAGACAGUGCUACCAGUCCUACAAACAUUAAAUGGGUAAUAACAGUACAAACAAAUUUAUGCCAUUAAAUUUGAUAACUUAGAAUCAAUGAAAAAAGUGUACAACAAAAAUUGUUGCUAGAAAAUCUGAAUAGCUCUAUAUGUAUUAAAGAAAUUGAAUUCAUAAUUUCCUUCUUACAGCAAAACUCCCAGGCCCAAAUGUCUUCACUGGUGAAUUUUAUCAAACAUUUAAAAAAGCAAUAGUAAUUGUAAUAAAACAUAACCUCUCUCAGAAUAUAAAAAGAACCCUUUCCAACUCAAUUUUUGAAGCCAGCAUCAUGCUGAUACCAAAACCAGACAAAUACAGAAAACUUUACACCAAUAUUCUUCAUGAAUCUAGAUGCAAAAAUCUUUAACAAGAUAUUAACAAAUAGAAUCCAUCUAUGUAUAAAAAGGACAAUAUAUUACAAUCAGGUGGAACAUUUCUUAGAAGUGCCAGGUUGUCUUAAUAUUUGAAAAACCAAGGCAACUCCUCACAUUAAUAGGAGGGGAAAAUGUUUUUUUCUCCCUUAGGACUAGAAGAAAAAGUGCACUUGACAAAAUUUAGCCACAUUUAUUACAAAAACUUUCAUCAAAGCAGGAAUAAAAAGAAACUCUCAAGCUUAUAGAGGGCACUUUUAAAAAUGUGCAGCUAACAUCAUACCUAAUGGCAAAAGACUGAACUUAUUUUCUCUAAGAACAGGAGCUAAGAACAGGAACAGAGCUGAUGCUGGUACAAUUAUAUAUCUGUAUGGAAAAAAAAAAAAACUUUAGUAUUUCCAACAUAUGAUACACAAAAGUUAACAUGAAAAAGAUCAUGGAUGAAAAUGCAAAAAGUAAAACUAUAAAACUUCUAGGAAAAAUGUAGGAGAAAAUUUUUGUGAUCUCAAUGUAGGCAAACAUUUUUGAGGUAAUAAAUCUAUAAUUUUUUUUUUUUUUUUUUGAGACGGAGUCUCACUCAGUCACCCAGGCUGAAGUGCAGUGGCGCGAUCUCGGCUCACUGCAAGCUCCACCUCUCGGGUUCACCCCAUUCUCCUGCCUCAGCCUCCCAGGGAGCUGGGACUACAGGCGCCCGCUACCACGCACGGCUAACUUUUUGUAUUUUUUUUAGUAGAGACAGGGUUUCACCGUGCUAGCCAGGAUGGUCUCAAUCUCCUGACCUCAUGAUCCGCCCGCUUCAGCCUCCCAAAGUGCUGGGAUUAUAGGCGUGAGCCACUGCGCCCGGCCCACAAAUCUGUAACUUUAAAAAAUGAUAAAUUAGACUAUCAAAAUUUAAAAUGUUUGCUCCCCAAAGGAUACUAUUAAUAAUAUAAAAAGGCAGGUCACAAACUAGGAAAAAAAUAACGAUAUAUAUAUGUGACAAGAUACUUUUAUAGAGCAUCAUAUAUAAAGAAAUCUUAUGAUUCAAUAAUUAGAAGAUAAAUAACCCAAUUUUAUAAAGUGAGAGAAGCAAAUGAAUUAAACAGACUUUAACCAAAGAAUAUAUACAAAUAGCCAAUAGCCACAUGCAAAGAUGCUCAGCAUUAUUAGUUAGCAGGAAAAUGCAAAUUAAACUCAUCAUGAGUCACCUCCACACACCCAUUAGAAUCAAUGUUCAAAAGGAUGAUCAUACCAGAUAUUGACAAGGACAUGGCUCAGCCAGAGCUCUCACUGAUUGCCGUGGGAAUAGAAAAUGGUGUAACUGGCCAGGCGCGGUGGCUCACACCUGUAAUCCCAGCACUUUCGGAGGCCGAGGCAGGUGGAUCACUUGAGGUCAGGAGUUCAAGAUGAGCCUGGCUAACAUGAUGAAACCCUGUCUCUACCAAAAAUACAAAAAUUAGCCAGGUGUGGUGGCAGUCACCUGCAAUCCCAGCUACUCGGAAGGCUGAGGCAGGAGAAUUGCUUGAACCUGGGAGGUGGAGGUUGCAGUGAGGUGAGAUCGUGCCACUGCACUCCAGCCUGGGCAACAGAGCAAGACUCCGUCUCAAAAAAAAAAAAAAGAAAAAAAGAAAAAAGAAAAUGGUAUAACUAUUCUAGGAAAUACUUUGGCUGUUUUUUUAUAGUUAAAUAUCUACUUACUCUACCAGUAAUUUGCUUCUAGGUAUUUACCAAGAGAAAUGAGAACAUUUGUACACAUUUGUUACACACAUUUGCUCAUAGCAAUCUUAAUAGUCAAAAACUGGAAGCAAGCCAGGUGCCCAUCAACAGGAGACUGGGUCAAUAAAUUGGGGUAUAUUCAUACAAGAGAAUAGUACUGAGAAGGAAAAAUGAAUAAGAUACUGUUAGAUUUAACAAAAUGAAUAGAUCUCAAAAGUGUUAUGUUAAAUGGAAAAAGCAAGUAUUUACACAGACACAAAAGAGUACAUGCUAUAUAAUUCCUUUUAGAUGAAAUUCUUAAAAGUCAGAACGGACAUAAAGCAGAUCAGUGGUUGCCUGGACAAGAGCUGGGGUGAGCUUGCCUGUAAAUAGGUACAAGGGUACUUUGGGAGGUGAUGGAAAUCUACAUGUUGUGUUGAGGUUGACUGGGUGUAUACAUUCGCCAAAACCCCUUGAACUGAUAUAAAGGUGCAGUUUAUUGAAUAUAAACUACACCUCCAUGCAGUUUUUUAAGAAGAGUUUAUGUGUAUUUUCUCCUGUUUGAGCUUUGAAAGAACAUUCCAAAGCUCCUAAAUGCUUUGGAAUCCCAAAGCUCCAAAAAUGUUUUCUAUUAGAAAACAUUUAGAAGUGCUCAAAGUAGCAAAAGAUUUGCCUAGUUUUAUCGGAAGUAUGGAGAAAAGACACAAGAUGGCGGUGUUACUCAGAGAAAGCAAAAGUGUAUGGCGUCUUUCUCAAUAAAGUCUCAUUUCACCUGGCAGUUCUUCACGUCAUUGACACGAUUGUCCUCAGUACUUUCUUCUCCAGGUGCUUAUGGGAGUCUUCUCUAAUAUACUUAAUUACUGUCUACACUCAAUAACUACGUCACGGAUCCUUUAAACAUCUCAAGAGCUUUUGUUUUUCUGUUGUUGUUGCAAAUAAAAGUGAAAAAUGUAAAUAGUUUGCAAUCCAGUAAUCUAUUUCGUUAUUAGGGAGACUCAUGUCUACUGCGGUUUGUUACUCCAUAAUGGAAGCCCCUGAGAAGUCGCCUUACCUCUGGGAAGAGCGCUUUGCUUCCCAGAGAAUCUGAUUCGCAUUUCAGGCAGUCAGCCACUGGAGGGCAGUGCAGAAGCGUGAAUGCCCUCACCUGCUCGGAGGCGGGAAACCCUGCAGCAACUGCGUCUUCUAAGGGAGCCUAGGACCAGGUUAUUAGCAGAGGGGAAAAGAAAAUGAAUCCAUUCUGGAAACCAUCCGUUUGAUUCAGAAUGUUUUGUGUAAGACAGUAUUUCUUGGGCCAGGCACAGUGGCUCACGCCUGUAAUCCCAGCACUUUGGGAGGCCCAGGCGAGCAGAUCACUUGAGGUGAGGAGUUCAAGACCAGCCUUGCCAACGUGGUGAAACCCCUUCUCUACUAAAAAUACAAAAAUUAGCUGGGUGUGGUGGCAUGUGCCUGUAAUCCCAGCUACCCAGGAAGCUGAGGUAAGAGAAUCGCUGGAACCCGGGAGGUGGAGGCUGCAGUGAGCCGAGAUCAUGCCACUGCACUCCAGCCUGGGCGACAGAGCAAGACUGUCUUUAAAAAAAAAAAAAAAAAAAAAUUAUUUCUUGGUAAUUACAAAGUUGUGUCCAUCAGACGAACUCUAGAACUCUACAGAUAACUGUGGACUCUAGCCUCCAUGUACAGAGCAGCUAAGUGCAGACUGGAGAGAGGGCAGGCAGGGGCCGGCCGAGGGCGGGGUCCUACAGGAGGAGGAGGUGCCGGUGAACCUCCCAUUUCCACGACUUGUACUCUUGGGGCAGCCCCUGGUCUGUGCCACGUGGAUGGUGAAAGCUCACAUGGAGAACAUCCCACUGCCUUGAAGAACCAGAGGACAAAGUUUAGGACAACCGCAGUCACUGGCUGGGGGGCGGUGUGGGGCAGGGAUCGGGGACUGACAAACAGAAGAGCCGGGAGACAGGGAACCUCAGACCAUGAGUAAAGGCUAACUUCCUAGCUGGGCCAUGCAUGGACCUGACAAGCUUCCCUCGCUAAGGCCCAACCCUGCAGCCCUGAUGGCCCUGCUGCCCCACCCAGGUUCCACGCACUGUGGGGAGAUAAGCGGAAGCUGGAAGAGGGAAACCCUGGGCUUACAGCCUGGUUCUGCUCCCAACCACUACUGCUAAUGUCUUGAGCUUGUUACCAAAGCUCCCUGAGCUUUAGUUUGUUUUCCAGAGAAAAGAUGAAACCAGACCUCUCUCCUAGGGCUGCUUUUGAGGACUACCAGGGAUAAUGUGUGCAAAGCGCCUGACACAGAGGGCUUCACUCUGUCAUUAAUUUGCUUCCCACCUCUUGUUUGUGGUUUCCCUGGAAUCUUGUGACUAACUCCUGUUGCAGGAAGUCAGGGACCCCAAACGGAGGGACCGGCUGAAGCCAUGGCAGAAGAACGUGGAUUGUGAAGAUUUCAUGGACACUUAUCACUUCCCCAGUCAAUACCCUUGUGCUUGCCUAUGCCUGUCUUUACUUUAAUCUCUUAAUCCUGUCAGCCAAGGAGGAUGUAUUUCGCUUCAGGACCAUGUGAUAAUUGCGUUAACUGCACAAAUUGUACAGCAUGUGUGUUUGAGCAAUAUGAAAUCUGAGCACCUUGAAAAAAGAGCAGGAUAACAGCAAUUGUUCAGGGAAUAAGAGAGAUAACCUUAAACUCUUGACCGCCGGUGAGCUGGGCAGAACAGAACCAUAUUUCUCUUCUUCCAAAAGCAAAUGGGAGAAAUAUCUCUGAAUUCUUUUUCUCAGCAUGGAACGUCCCUGAGAAAGAGAAUGUGCGCCUGGAGGUAUAGGCUUAUAAACAGCCCCCCCGCCAGGUGCACCUGUCUCUUAUGGUCGAGGCUGCAGAGAUGAAAUAUACUCCAGUCUCCCAUAGUGCUCCCAGGCUUAUUAGGAAGAGGAAAUUCCCACCUAAUAAAUUUUGAUCAGACCAGUUGAUCACAAAACCCUGUCUCCUGAUAAGAUGUUAUCAAUGACAAUGGUGCCUGAAACUUCAUUAGCAAUUUUAAUUUCGCCUGGGUGCUGUGGUCCUGUGAUCUCGCCCUGCCUCCACUUGCCCUGUGAUAUUCUAUUACCCUGUUAAGUCCGUGAUGUCUGUCACCCAUACCUAUUCACACACUCCCUCCCCUUUUGAAAAUCCCUAAUAAAAACUUGCUGGUUUUUGUGGCUUGUGGGGCAUCAUGGAUCCUACCAACGUGUGAUGUCUCCCCAGGACGCCCAGCUUUAAAAUUUCUCUCUUUUGUACUCUGUCCCUUUAUUUCUCAAGCCGGCCGACGCUUAGGAAAAAUAGAAAAGAACCCACGUGAUUAUCAGGGCAGGUCCCCCGAUAAACUCCGUUUCUGAGAUCAGUUCUAGUGGCAACCCUCCAAGUCAGCUAGGCCUCAGUUCCUGAUCUUACCCGUAAACGCAGUGAGUUUGCUUCUCACAAGCUUUGGUUAUCUUGUCUGUCUCCCUUUUUGAAAUCCAGGUUUGAAGACUAUUCGGCCAUGCUUUUGCAGUGAGCACCAGCUUGCUAGAGCCCCUGGGGGGCCGCAGCCAGCAAGCUGGAGAGUUACCAAUGUUCCAAGAAUGUUUCAGAACCACUUGCUUUGUCAAAGCUUGGCCUUGUGGACUUCCCGUUUUACAUGAGAUUCUCUAGUCUUUGCCCAUCUUCAUUUCCUAUUGCCUCCUAUAUAUUUUUUUCUUUUUCUUUCUUUCUUUCUUUCUUUUUUUUUUUGUCAGUGGCAACUUUUACAUGAUUUUCUGUGAUCAUGCACACAGGGACUAAAAGCACUCACUCUCUCUGCAUCUGGGACCCGUCCUCUCCUCUACCUCUCACUGCAGUCAAUGGUGUUUGCUCCUCUGCCCUUUGCUCUUGCUGGGCCAUGGUGACAGCUUCCUGGCUAGGUUCUCUGCCUUCAUUCAUGGCCCUGUGUGCCAUUUUCCCCGACAUCCAAGACUUAAACUUUUAAAUAUGGUCAUCACAUCAUGUUAACUCUUCACUUUCACUUCUCGCGUAGCUGCUUGCUGUAGCUGGAGUCAAAUCUACCCUCCAAAGACCCCCGGCUCCCUCUCUUCCCCUGACUGGCUGUGCUCUGGCUCUUUCCGACCACACGUGUGUCAAGCUCCUACUAUCAUCCAGGCCUCCCCACGUGCUUGUCCUGUGCUCUAAUCGUCUUUCUACACCCAGCUGCUGCCUUUUAUCAUUCCUGCUUUGGUUCUAUCACCGUCUCCUCAAAGAGGUCUUCCCGGCUGUCCCAACUGAAGUAGUCCUCACUUAGCCUCAGCCCCUGUGUAAGCCAUGGCAACGUUUCAUUUCCUUCAUCACACUUAGCACUGUUGAAAAUUGUCUUUAUUUAUUUGUUCCAGCACCACAAAGUUCAGGUGUAAAAUAGAGUUUACUGGAGGAAAACAAGCCAAGAAGUAGUGGGUUGCACGGUCUCCUUAAGUCGUGUUACUCCUUAGCUCUUAGACAGGAUAUACACAGUCUGGUGCAUCAGGGCCAAGGCACCAGCAAGGAAGGACAAUGUCCCCAUGAUGCUCUGUAUAUUUAUGGUGUGUAUUUAAGAGAAGGGAGCAGGGGAUAUCUGUGGGACCACACACGUUCUCUAGUUGAGAAAGUGGCCUUGUUGGAAGGGAAGGUCCUCCAGAACCUGGCAACCAGACACUGACCCGUCCUCCUAUUAGGCUCGGGUAGAGCGCCUACCAAGUACUCUGCUGAGCUAUUAUAUAAAGGCAGGGAGGAAGUGAGUCCCUGGGGCCAUGCUCUUCUGCCUCUCCUGAGUAAAAUAUAAGCCCCAUUAAGAAACAGAGCUUAUCUUGUUUACCACUACAAUAAUACCAGGCACGUAGAAAGGCAAUCAAAAAAUAUUUAUUGAGUGAAUGGGAGAAUAGCAGAAUGAGUAAUAAUAAAAUCAUGAUUCAAAAGUAACUGAAAUUCAGAGAGAAAGACCAACUUUACUAGAAAUGGUAUCUUGGUAGUGACCUGGAGCUGAUGGGGAGGGGGUGUCUAAUUUACUGCAGCAUUGUAACUGCGCAUAGAAGGCACAGCAGGAGGGCAGCCACUGAUGUGGCUCCAACUCUUAGAGGUUCCUUUCCUGGUUUUAAAUACAUGCCAUGGCUGGGCACGGUGACUCAUGCCUGUAAUCCCAGCACUUUGGGAAGCCGAGGCAGGUGGAUCACGAGGUCAGGAGAUCAACACCAGCCCGGCUAACACAAUGAAACCCUGUUUCUACUAAAAAUACAAAAAAAAAAAAAAAAGCCGGGUGUGCCUGUAGUCCCAGUUGCGUGGGAGGCUGAGGCAGGAGAAUGGUGUGAACCCAAGAGGCGGAUCUUGCAGUGAGCCGAGACCACACCACUGCACUCCAGCCUGGGCGACAGAGCAAGACUCCAUCUCACGAAAAAAAAAAAAAAAAAAAAAAAAAAAGGACACGCAUGUUAGUCCUGCACUGCCCACAGCUUCAUUUACGGAAUUACCACUGUCAAGUUGACAUGUGCUGUCUCUUAAAUUACUCUUCGGUAUGAGAAGCAAAGUUGCAUGUUUAUUUUUGUCAGAGAAAGAGACUGGGAUUCUUUGGAAGACAUAGGCCAAUUGCCCUUCAUACCAAGAAAAAUCUUUCUCAUUCUGACUGUUUUGUUUGUCUCAAACCAGCAUCACAGACUGCCCUGGAUGGGUUUUGGCAACAAGAGUGAUAAUGAAGUCAUUUCCAUGGUGAUAAGGUCAACGUUCUUAAUGCUUACUGCAUCACAAUCAAUUUUUGAAAUGUUUCUAAAUUAGAAAAGUGAAAAAACUUGUUAAAUGAAGGAAAAGUGUACGAUGAGCUAAAUGCUGAGGAGAAUGACUAAUACUCUGCAUGAAAUACUCAUCAAGCACUUGAUCACAUGCACCUCUGGAGGGUUUCUUAUUAGAAGACACUUCCCUGGAGAUGAAGUCAUUCUGGUUGCCCCCAUUUCACAAAUACCAACCUUGGAAUAGAUAUUAUUGACUUGUAAAAUGGACAAAAUUUGUUUUCAAAAUGUCAAUAAAAACUAUUAAGUAAGCAAAACAAAUCUUUAGCAGUCUCUAUCAUGGCCCAUUAGUGGAAUUACUUUUCUCCACCAAUGUAAUAAUCUGUGUUUCAGGUCUCUUAGGAACUGAAAAAAUUACAUAUAAUGGAGAAAUUAUACCUAUUAGGUCACUAUGUGUUUCUACAAGUCAAGUAGUCUGUUGCGGUAGCUUUAAAGCAAUUUUCUCAAGCUAAUGAUUAGUUUAGCACGGUCUUAUCCUCUCUGACAUUUUACACUCCUGACGACUUUUUUCUUAGAAUUCUCCUUAGCGCCAUGUUUCCCCAUUUUGAUGCUGCUCUUUUCCUGCUCCCUGUUGGGGCUUUUAAGUGAUGUUUCUUUCUUUGAUCACCUCCUGAACAUCAAUGAUAGUCCCCAUUUAAUCCAUUCUCCUCUUAUACUUGACACUUUUUUUUUAACCUCAUCUGAUCACAUAGAUUCAAAUUUCACUUAAAUAUAGGCUUUCAGUCAAACUUCUCAAUAACGUUUGUAGCCAUAUCUAAAACUGGACUCAUCUCCACUCAACAGUCCCCCAGGUUCCUCACACUCAACUCACCCACAGCUCCUCCGUCCCCACCACCAACUCCAGGUGCUUCCUUGAUGUCCACAUUGGGAUGGAUGUGAUUCACUUUCCAAUGCUAAGUGUGGGAACCUUUCUGCAUCCCACCCUUUCACUCACCACCGUUCUCAGAAUCCAGCCAUCAACCCAGCAGCCUGCAAUUCCUUAGGAUCUUUUCUUUUUUCCUUCCUAUAUAUCUUAUUCCAACCGGAACCACUGUAAGGCUCAUGCCUGGUCUCCCUAAGCUCAGAAGGCACUCAGCUUCCAGCUGGGAGGAGCGGGCCUCAGUCACCAAGUCUCCUCAAGCCUCUUUGACGAGAUGAGGUGGGACCUCUUCAAUAUUAAUAUGGCUCUACAUUCAUUAUACUUAAAUUACAGAGAGUUUAUCAGGAAGAAAUACAAUUUAUGCUAGUAAAUAUUUCUUCUAUAUAAAAAAUGUGAAAGAAUUUGGGAAUAAAAACCAUGGAAGUGAAAGAUAUGAAUCCUGACCUUCAGAAGGAGUGGGAGUGGGUGAGAAACCAAGAUUGCAGUGACCUGGGUCUGGAUUUUAGCUCCUCCAUUUGUUUGACUGGGGCAAGAUAUUUUAGUUUUGGUUUCUUUGUAAAAUGAAGAGGAACACUUCAGUCAAAGGUACGUUUUGACAUUUAAAUUAUAUUGCAUAUGAAGCAUACAUCCCCAAAACUUGGACAUGGUAGAUUCUCAUCAAAUCAUAAUUAUUAUAACUUAGAAGCACAAGACUUUCAUAAUUGAAAAGUAAAAUAUCAGCAAUAGUUUAAAAUAACAGUUUAAGUAAACAAUAAUAGAAACGCCAUGAGGAAUCCACCCUGUCUGCCAAGGAACAGUGCGGACAGCCAUUCCUCAAGGAGCCCAGAUUGUCUGGAGCGGAAAGAAAUUACAGACAGGAAACCCCUACCUAGACACAGCAGCACCACACACCAAAUGUUCUCUGACUCCUCAGCUCCUGAAAAAGAAGAUUUUGCUACACAAAGCAAAAAAAAAAAAAAGAGAAAGUUUUAUAGAUUUUUAUGGUCUUUAAAUAAGAUUAGGGCCAGGCCCGGUGGCUCACGCCUAUAAUUCCAGCACUUUGGGAGGCUGAGGCAGGCGAAUCACAAGGUCAGGAGUUCGAGACCAGCCUGACCAACAUGGUGAAACCCCAUCUCUACUAAAAAUACAAAAAAUUAGCUGGGCGUUGUGGUGCAUGCCUGUAAUCCCAGCUGCUCAGGAAGCUGAGGCAGGAGAAUCGCUUGAACCCGGGAGGCCAAAGUUGCAGUGAGCUGAGAUUAUACCACUGCACUCCAGACUGGGUGACAGAGCGAGACUCCGUCUCAGGGAAAAAAAAAAAAAAAUUGAAAAGUUAAAAGAUAAGAUUACUCUAAGACUCACCUCUCACCUGUACCCAGGGACUUCUAGGUUUGAAAGCAUUUCCACCACUACUGAUGAUCUAAGGGAGACACUGGGGAAAGUAUAGCUGCAUAAUCCUUCCCUGUGGGUGUCACUCCCUAACCUCCAGGCUCUCCUGGGUGUGGACUGGUUGGGGGAGAUGAUUGGAAACUGCCAUUUGUGUCUACUGCGCACAAUGAUAAGAGAUAAACUUGGCUGGGGCUAUUAGAGGUCGUUUAUUUAGUUCAACAUUUCGUAUACUAAAGAGGAAACCCAAGUUCAGACCGGCUGAGUUGGAAAAGUCACCUAGCUACUGGAAGCAGAGCCAGGCCUAGAUCUCCUAGUCCAAAACUUCUUUUCUCCCACACCACAGCUGCUGCUUUACAUUACUGGGGUUUUGGAAUUUUACUCAUUCAAAUGCAAAUGUUUUGUGUGCUUCUUUAAUGGGACAUUUUUUGUCUUACUUUACUAAGUAAAGUACAGAGUGAAUGAGAGUGGAUUGGAGGUGUUGAAAUCGUCAACCUCUUUUAAAGCAUCGUUAUUUUUCCUUUGUUUCUCUUUAUGAUGUGAAACACUUACUUCUUUUUCUUCCCAGCUUGAAUUGGAGACAGCAGCACAGAUAACUUGACUUUCUUGUUCUAGUGGAUGAUGCAAGUAGUGAGGAUGCGAUUAACGAAAUCAAUGGCUCAUGGGAAAGCCUUCCCAUUUCCAAUCUCACCCCUACUUUAGGAUAUGGUCCAGUGAAUCCGUUGCUAUGAAACAGUGCUGCAGCUGGGCUCAGUGGGGGUCUGGGUGGUCUCACAAAAGCUAGCAAUAGUUGUAACUUGGAGAAAUUAGAAGUGUUACGGGCCGUCCAAUAUCACAUCACUGGGAUAAGUCAUGAUCGUGUGACUUCAUAAAGUUUGCCAUUGACCCAUUCAUCAAUUGGUUAUUGAAGUCAUACUAUAUUCCAGGUAUUGUAUUAGGUUCCAGAGAUACACUGUCCUUGCUCCAUAGUCCACAUGGACAAAUCAGCGAGUGAUCGUGAUGUGAUGUGGUGGAUGCUGUGAUGGAGAAAGACGAAGUGAAAAUAUUCAUGCAUCAGAGUGGCAUCUAACCCAUCUUCCGAGGUCAGGGAAGGCUUUUUGGAAGAGAUGAUAUUUAAGCAGAAACCUGAAGAAUAAAAUAGAUGGCACAGGUGAAAAGGUGGAAUAGAGGAUGUUCCUAGCAGAAGAAGCUGUAUUGUAUGUCAAAGGCUCAGAGGCAUCAGAGAACCGGCAGAACGCAGGGAAGUACAAGCGCACAGUGUGCCGAGAGCACAGGAUACAGGUGCAAGAUUGGGAGGAGGAGGUGUCCACAGAUGGGGUGGAAGCACUGCACAGCCUCCAAAGCUGUACACAGCCUCUCCUUGUCUGCCACAGGACUUUGCGUGUGACCACUGCACCUCCAGGAAGGCCAGGUGCACAUCGCUUCCCAUGCGCCCGGCCUCAUGGCCUUUGGGGGUUGUCGUGUGGAAUGGAGAUGACACGAGUGCUGCAUGUGAGGUCAGUCAGGAUCUUUGAUUUUGGAGCACAAGCCUUCUGCGUGCUACUGACUGGGUCCUGGCCUCCCUCCUUCCAUGGCAUCGUCGUGAAUGGGAAUUUCCACCACUGCCUCCAUUAGUCAGAAGAUUGAACAUGUUGUAACUGUAGAAAGCCCGUCAUCCUUGUGUAUGCACUUGCUGAAAGAUCCACUGAAGAGCAACCUUCAUGAACAUUACCAGGGGACUUGUGCUCCUAUAAAACGCACUGUUUUCCUCACUGCGAGGUGGGUCUCUCACCGCGAUGGACUAUCUGUGAUCACAGAGCACUUCUUCCCUGGGCCUUCCCUGUCACACUGAUGGUGUGAGUAUGUAGGGCAGGGGUGGGAGUGAACAUGUUAAUCUCUUUUGAAUAAACUGAUUUUGAAGUAGAUGUCUCAAAAAAAAGUUUGUCGCAAUACUUUCUGGGUAGUGACAUUAAUUCUCCCCACCAAGAGUAGUAGUUUGGAGUUAUUACUUAUAAGCAGUGUGGCUUAUUUAAUAGUUUUAUUCCCAAUGCAUUUCAGGCCACACAUCUUCAACGUAUAAAGUGUUUGUGUAGGGGAGAAUUAAAGUAAAACAGAGAGCCACUUCUUCCUCCCAACCUGUCUCCAGUGAUUCCAGAGAGAAUGCGGCAGGUCAUAAGUACAGAACAAUGCUUUGCACCUGAAAUAAACCAAUAAAGUAAGGCGGACACAGGAGAUGACUCAAUCCCAAUUUAGGUUUUGGGGACAGAAGGGCUGACCGUCCCGGGGAUGUGGCCUUGAGUGUUCUCUGUACCCCGUGCAAUUUUCCACAGGAGCCUUGGCAGAGAGCUGCUGUCAGAGUCUGGGGCUUGGUCCAUCCAGAGCUGGGCAGCAUCACCUCCCAUGCCCUGCCCAGUGCUGCCUGGGCUUAGAAGCUGGCAUGGGCUCUUGGUGCAGGCAUGCACACACACACCAGCAAUGAGGUCCACACAUCAGUCGCCCCAAACUCAAACCCCUGGACUCUCGCACGCCAGAUGAGAGCAUGCUACGGUUCUUCAGUUAUGUUGAGAAAAGACGUAAAUAGCAAUAAUCUUGAAACAAUGUUAGGGAAAUAAAAGCACAAGUGUAAGCCAGAAAAGAAGUCAGCUGUCAAUAUAACAACAAAUAUAAGAACAAAAUCAGAAGCCCGGGUGUGGUGGCUCAUGCCUGUAAUCCCAGCACUUUGCGGGGCUGAGGCAGGCGGAUCACGAGGUCAGGAGUUCGAGACCAGCCUGAACAACAUGGUGAAACCCUGUCUCUGCUAAAAAUACAAAAAUUAGCUGGGCAUGGUGGCAUGCGCCUGUAACCCCAGCUACUCAGGAGGCUGAGGCAGGAGAAUCACUUGAACGUAGGAGGCAGAGGUUGCAGUGAGCCGAAAUCGGGCCACUGCACUCCAGCCUAGGCGACAGAGUGAGACUCCGUUUAAAAAAAAAAAAAAAAAAAAGAACAAAAUCAGAAUGUGUAACUUUCAGGGGUAGCAGAGAAAUUUUGAACUAUUCAGAGGAAGUUUAAAAAAAGGAAGAAAAAAGAAACAAAUAAAAUAUAGAGAAUUGAAAAUGUAAAAUAAGAUGAGAGAAACAAAUCUGCUAUAUGAACAACUAUAAUUUGGGGAAGAUUGAAGUGAGUGUGCAUAUCCCUGAGACUGGUGAGGAACGUGUGCGUGGACAUGAACAUGUGGAUGGGAUGCCCAGGGGUGCAUACAGAGCUGGGAGGGGGAGCCAGGGCGUGGGCCAUGGGCAGGCUGCCCCCCCGCAGCCUUCCCUCCCAUAUACCUCCUAUCGGGGAAAUUCAGGAAUCCCAAGCUCUGUAGAACUUGGCCUUCUACAUCAUUAGGCAGUCAUCUCUACCAAGGAAGGAGGAGAGAACUUUUUAAAUGUACUUUUAAAAUUGUUUAUUUAAACAUUUUUUACUUAUCAAAUUAAAGUUUGUGGGUUUGAUGUAUAACUUUUAAAUAUUUGGACAUGUGUGAGAGUGUCUUUGAGCAUCAUGUGUGGGCCAGGCAGUGAGGGCCCUGAGACGUGGGCAGAUCCUGGCAAUCCAAAGAGCAGAUCCAGCUGGUCUUGCUAGGGGACUGGAGCUGGGGAGUCAAAGAAAGGGGGGCCCAUGGACCCACAGUGGACUCAGUUGCCACCACAAGGGAUAGGGAAGGCCGUGUGUGGAGUGGAUUUGGGGAAGAGCAUUCAGGAUUUCACUGUUGGGAAUGCUGAUCACGAAACAUCCACGGGAGCUGCCAAGUAGGCAUUUGGAUGUGUGGGUCUCCAGGUCAGGAGAGGGUCCCAGGUAGACUUCCAUUCAUGGACAGCAGCAGGCAAAUGGAAUUUACAGCCAUCAUAGAUGGGGACAGCAGCAAGCAUGUGACUGUAGACAGAGAAGAAGAGGAGUGAGGACUGAGCCCUGGAAUCUUCCGAUGUUAGCCAGUAACUCACUUUACUCAAUGCAUCACACAUUCAGGUAUUUGAAGUAUAUUUUUAAGGGUCUUGUAAGAGGUUGGAGAAAAUCUAACGCUAUUCAAAGCUAACUGGAGUCUAUUGAAAUUCUCUGAAAAGUUUUAAAGUAAAACUGUUUCUUCUAUCAAUCUCCUUGAUUUCAACAAGGUUUUCUUAACUUUUUAAAGCAAAUUCCAGAAUGUUUUGCACAAAAUUAAAAUUAAAGGGUGUUGCCUGUGGGCACCUUAAAGAGUCUCUUUGAUAAGUCUGCAUAUUGGCUUAUUGCUCAAGAGAGAUAAGUUGGGCUCCCCAAUUUUUAUAACAUACUGUCAACUCUGUAGUCACACUGUCUAUUUCAUGUCGUUGCUUGUUAGAAACAGACUAUCCGCACUGAGCAGAAAGUACCAGUAACUAUUCUCUGCUGCAGCAGCUGCCCAUGAUGCAUUGCGUGGUGAGCCCUCGCCCUCAGUUUUCUGCCAGGUAUCUCUCUGCCCUGCUUCCUCUGGGCUCUCCCUGAAGUUGGGGGACACUCAAUCAUCACAAACCUUGAGAUGGAGGAGGGUAAAAUGCCCAGGAAAAUCAUCAACCAAUGGAAAAGAAAAUGCAGUGAAUUAAUUCCCUGGGCUGGUUGCUCCUGCCUUAGCCUCCCAAAGUGCCAGAGGAACACUUGAGGCCAAACGUUCGAGACCAGCCUGGCCAACAUGGUGAGACCGCCCCCCUGCCGUCUCUGCAAAAAAUGAUACUAAAAAUUAAGUGCCAGCCACCUUUGUCUAGCGAGACAUGUUCUGUGUGAAUGGGGUCCCGGUGAACAGAGACCUAGUUGUGCACCCAGGAACGAGCUCAUGAACAUACCCUAUUCUGACUUUCCUCCCUUCUGUCUUACUUUUCUAGCCACUUCCUUUGGUACCAGUCCCAAAUAAAGUAUCUGCUCAGGUAUCUAAGGAAAGAUACUCCUAUUAAAUAGCACAGGCUCAACUUUAUUUUGAACUCUCUAGAAGGAUAUUACCAUAUAGGUAGUGUGGAAGAUUAUCAAAUGAAAAGAUCUUGUAUUACUGUACUAGCUUCAGGCCUUUGCAGUGGCUAUUUGCUCCACCCUAAAUGUUCUUUCUCGAGAUGGUUCACUCCCUCACAUCCCUCGCAAUGGAAAUUCAAAUGUCACCCUCCUAUGUGGCCUGGCCAGGCCAUCUUGGAGACCAGCACACCUCACCCUAUGUCACUUCUCUUGUAAUUUUUCUUCAUAGCAUCAUCUGACAUCAUAUAUGUUUUAUUAGUUGUUUGCCUACAAAAGCAAAAAGGACAGGGGUUUUACCUAUUUUUUACACCAAUAUAUCCAGCUUUGCCCACAAUAGACUUGGUACAAAUAGGCACUCAAAUUUUUGUCAAAGCAAAAUUUAUAGGGCAAUAUUUGUCUAAAGGAUAUGGCCAGAAACAUGCUUUUUUCCUUCAAGAUAUUUUUUAAAAUCUUCCAGUAAGCAUUAUACAUUUAUUGUGGCAUCUUUUCAUGUUGCGGGAAGACAGGAAUCCCGAACAGAGGGACUGGCUGAAGCCAUGGCAGGAGAACAUAAAUUGUGAAGAUUUCAUGGGCAUUUGUUAGGUCUCCAAAUUAAUACUUUUAUAAUUUCUUACGCCUGUCUUUACUGCAGUCUCUGAACAUAAACUGUGAAGAUUUCAUGGACAUUGAUCACUUCCCCAAUCAAUAUUCUUAUAAUUUCCUAUGCCUGUCUUUACUUUAAUCUCUUAAUCCUGUCAUCUUCGUAAGCUGAGGAUGUAUGUCGCCUCAGGACCCUGUGAUGAUUGCGUUAACUGCACAAGUUGUUCGUAAAGCAUUUUUGUUUGAACAAUAUGAAAUCUGGCCACCUUAAGAACAGGAUAACAGCAAUUUUCAGGGAACAAGGGAGAUAACCUUAAAGUCUGGCUGCCUGUGGGCCAGGCAGGACAGCCAUAUUUCUCUUAUUACCAAAAACGGGUAAGAGAAAUAUCACUGACUUUUUUCCCUGGUAAGGAAUAUUAAUAAUUAACAGCCCUGGGAAAAGAAUGCAUUCCCCGGCAGAGGGGGGCCUCUAAAAUAGCCACUCUGGGGGGUGUCUGCCUUGUGCAGUUGCAGAUAAGGGAUGAAACAUGCCCUGGCCUCCUGCAGCACCCCCAGGCUUGCUAGGAUUAGGAAAUUCCAGGCUGGCAAAUUCUAGUCGGACCGGUUCUCUGCUCUUGAACCCUGUUAAGAUGUUUAUGACAAUGCGUGCACAGUGGGACGUGGAACUUCAUUAGUAAUUCUAGUUUUGCCCUGACCUUGUGAUCUCGUCCUGACCUUCUGCCUUGUGAUCUUUUGUUGCCCUUGAACCAUGUGAUCUCUGUGACCCACACCCUAUUUGUACACUCCCUCCCCUUUGAAAAUUGCUAAUAAAAACUUGCUGGUUUUACAGCUCAGGGGGCAUCACGGAACCUGCCGACAUGUGAUGUCUCCCCCGGACACCCAGCUUUAAAAUUUCUCUCUUUUGUACUCUUUCCCUUUAUUUCUCAGACCGGCCAACAUGUAGGGAAAAUAGAAAAGAACCUAUGUUGAAUUAUCGGGGGCUAGUUCCCCCGAUAUUUUUGUGUUGGCUAAAUUUAAUACUCAGUUAUAGCAAUUUUUUUGAGACAGGGUCUCACUACGUUGCCCAGGCUGGCACAGUGGUACAAUCUCGGCUCACCACAACUUCUGCCUCCUGGGCUCAAGCUAUCCUUCCACAUCAGCCUACUGAGUACUUGGGACUACAGGCAUGACCCCACACCUGGCUAAUUUUUUGUUUGUUUUUUGUAGAGACAAUGUCACUAUGUUGCCUAGGCUGGUCUCAAACUCCUGGGCUCAAGCGAUCCACUUGCCUUGGCCUUCCAAAAUGCUGGGAUUACAGGCAUGAGCCAUCAUGCCCAGCCAGUUAUAGCAAUUUUCUUAUCAUUUGGUUUAGCAUUCAAUAAAUGCUAGUUAAUAUUUCUGUUGACAAAUAUUUUCAGAGUUAGCAGAUAACUAGACAGAGGAAAUCAGCCUAAGUGAAACAAAUGACAAUUUGACCACUAAUACAUUUAAAUUUGCUAAAGUCAAAUACAUUUCAGUGUAUUAAAAUAGAUUUUCAUCUCGGUUUUAAAGGUCUCUGGUGAAAGACCCCAGAUAGAUGUGGAAAUGUUUUGAAGUAAAGUCAGUGCUGGACAUAAGUUCUCAGAUCUGAUGGGUGAACUCACUUAGAUCGAAGCAACGUGGGAUCAAAGCCACUUACAAAAUUGCAGUACACUCUGAAUUUUAGAAUAAAGACAUUCUUAGGGACACAUAAAUAAAAUCACACUGUUCUCUGAAGUUAGACUGUCAUGUAGAUGGUUGGUGCCAAUUAACGUUAUUACUGGUAAAUGUUCUACUGAGGAGGACAGAUUAAACCAUCUGUUUAGACUGUGAGAUAUUCCUUCAGCAGUGAGGUAGGAAUCCUUCCUGCCACCUUUUAACAAAGGACAAUAUCAUUCUGUGUCUUACUGGUAUACACGUUAUGAAAGAUUAUUUCACUUCCUUACACAUGCUCAAUGGGGUUUCCAAGUUUCCAGAAAUGUUUUCUUCUUCCUAAGAAAAUUAGUUCUUAUCCAUCUUAAAUAUUUUCUUACCAAUUCAUUGAGGUUCUCAAAACAAUGAAAUGAAUCAUUGAAGAAAUGCUCCUACACAGACAGAAAAACACCUAUAAUUCUUGCUGAUCAGAGUUCUUUACAGAGGAAAUUCCAGAAUACAUGUUAGUCUGCAGAGUACUCCUAAGAUCUUCUAAAGGGCUAUUAAUUUAAAAAUACAUAAACAAAAUAAUGUCAAUACAAUUUUCCUCAGCCCCUCCUAGAGGCCCCUGGCUCAUUUGUUUGUAAACACCUUUUCCCUGCUGUUCUCAUGUUAGCAUAUCUUCGCAUCGUUACUAUAGUUGGUAUCAUUUUGUUUAUGAUUUUUUUUAUUUUUACACACACAAAAAUAUUUUGCUAUAUCACUAAUUUUUUGUGUUGGCCAAAGCAUUUCACGGAGAAGAACACACACACAUGCACACACACACACACAGAAAUGUCGCCUUUUAUCAUAAACAUGGUAGUUGAAGAAUGAUCAGAAAUCACCUUUCUGUUCUCAGGGAUUUAUAGAAACAUAAUGAAAACCCAAAACAGGAAGCAUUGCUUUUUCUGCAAAGAGGAGAUUCCCAUCGUAUGAGGUCUUGACACAGUUAUUCUAUUUUCUUUGAAGUAAAUGUGAGUUUGUGUGUUUAAUUCCACUCUGGGGCUUUCCUGUUUCUUUUUAUAGAGUGUCUCUACUUCCAUCAAAUAUGGCUUUUCACAUGUUUUUUACUUUAACUGUGGCUUUAUGGGAAUAAGAUUCUUAACCAAGUAUAUACAGACAAUUUCCUGUAAAGUUUCCUGACUUUAUGCAGGUCUCCAUUAUGAACACUGAUUGAUAAAAAUCUACUAAGAGAAAUUGUAGUGCCUGUCAUCCCCGCUUCACCCUAAACUCAUUUCCUGCCAGGCCAAACUCUUGAAAUAGUUCAAGCACAGUAAUCCUAAGAAUACAACAAAUUACGUGCUGAUCUCAUUGGAGAGCAUUAAGUUUGUGGUUUGCCAGGAGUUCAUUUCUAAGUAAUGCUAAGAUAGAUCACUUGCCAAAAAAAAUAAAAAAUAAAAAAAGCUAUUUAAUGUUUCAGUUGAGCAGUGAUUUAUUUUCAAAAAUAUUUCCAGAUGUUCCAAUUCACCUACACUUUAUAAGGCCACAUUUCUAAAAGCAAGUGGCAUUGACUUCCAGCUACUCCAUCAAGUUAUCCACUUUUGUUUAAUUCGUUGAAAGAAAGAUGCCUAUUUAUCUCACCUCAGGGUCUUCUUGGUGCGGGAAGUCCCCAGGGUAGAUGUCCUGAGAGUCAACAGUGAAGCCGCAUGGGGAGACUUGUGCCACAUCUGCUUCCAGUCAGUCCCUCUGCUGAGGGCCACAGGGCCGCUGCUGCUCGUGAGAAUUCCGGCUCUCAUGGCCUCCCACUGCCAAAGAGAAGAAAGGGCCAAACUGCCAAGUGACCUUCAUCAUACCACAUGCUUCUCAGUGUAAACACGUUCCUGGGGACGUAUACUAAAGUCAGAAUGGUAUACCUUUCCUUCAUUCCACUGUCAGAGAGUAUGUAUGCAUUCCUCAGACUGGGGUUUUAAACCUUGGCUCUCGCUCAAAUGUGAAGUAAUCAGAAGUGAUAUGUUGAUAAAUUGUCUACUUGUUUGAUGUAAGCAGGGAAAAGCCAUUUUCCAUGUAGAGUUUGAAAAUCAUACUUAGUUUACUUACACUAAGUACAAAGAAAGUUCCACCCUCCUACUGAAUAGGAGACUUAUUGAACCUGCUGCUUGACAGUUGCUUAAAAAUAUUUUAAUAUUAGCUGUAGGCUCCUAGAAACAAAAAGUGUAUUUAUAAAAAAAUUACAUUUUAGGCCAGGCACGGUGGCUCACACCUGUAAUCCCAGCACUUUGGGAGGCUGAGGCGGGUGGAUCACGAGGUCAGGAGAACAAGAUCAUCCUGGCUAACAUGGUGAAACCCCGUCUCUACUAAAAAUACAAAAAUUAGCUGGACGUGGUGGUGGGUGCCUGUAGUCCCAGCUACUAGGGAGGCUGAGGCAGGAGAAUCGCUUGAACCCAGGAGGUGGAGGUUGCAGUGAGCUGCGAUCACGCCACUGCACUCCAGCCUGGUGACAGAGCUAGACUCUGUCUCCAAAAAAAAAAAAAAAAAAGACAUUUUAUAAAAUGAUCUUUCUCUGCAGAAAGCUGGCUAGUAAUGGAUAUUCAGUGGGUUAAUUAUACUUACUGUAAAUGGGAUUCUAAUUUACUGACAUUAAGUGCACAUUGCUUUUGGAGUAAUAUCCAAUUAAUACAUUACCCAUUAAGAGUCCUCUUCACAGGGCCUGUAAUGCCUACUGCACAGUUCACUGACUUAAGUGUACAGUGUGCACACAUGGGGCUCUGAGAAGCUUCUGCUUAGAUCCCUGUCUGAGCUAAGACUCUGUGGUAGUGUGGAAUGAUGAUCAACACUCCUUUGGACUGGCCAGAUGCGAAUUCAAACCAGCUCUACCUAUCGUUCACUGGCUAUGCGAACUUAAUGUCUCCUCACUUGUAAAAUGCAGAUAUUACAUCUUCUCACCACUGUGAGCAAUAAGGCACUAAACUAGCAUGCUUAAUACGGUCUCUGGAACAUCAUAAGUGCUCAAUAUAGAAUCCUAUUUUUAUUACAAUUAUCAUUUUUCCAUUUGUUUUCAUCAACUACAGACCAUCUUAAUUAUCUAUUGUGGAAUUCUACUGCAUGUCUCCUUGAACAAGAAUUAAUUAUUUACAAAAAAAAAAAAAGAAAGAGAAGCCAGUAUUCUUUUCUCAAGCUAUAUCAUGUAUUCAGUCUUUUUGAAAUGUCAUCUUUUCCUUGAUUACCUCAAGAACAUUAUUUUCUGGGUUGGUUGUGGAUCUUUUUCAUCAGAGACCUUCCACUAUAGGAGAUGUUCUCUCCUGUGUUACCAGAAGUCACAAGUUAGAAAGCCUGGGCACACUGCCCUGCUGGGCGCCUUCGGGAGACAGCUGCACAGGACAGCUCUGAACUGGAUGGGACUUCCUUAGAGCAUUGCUGUGGUUUUUGUCUCUGUUUUACACCCCACCCUGAAUUCUAGCUAGCUCAUGUGCAUGUGCAAACCGCAGAAUAUUGGAUGUAAAAUUGGAAAGCUCACACCGUGAAACUUGCCAGGAAGAGUGUCGCUGUGUUUACAGAAAGUAAAAUGGUGUUGAACAGUGUUGAACAACGAUUUUGAACAAUGGAGCAGCCAUUUUCAGCUCUGGUGCAGUGCAGAAAGCAACUCUUCCUGCCAGACAGACUUAAAACCUCCAGCUUCCUUUUCUGAUUUGCCUUCAGCUAGGCCUGUGUGCUUCUGCUUUUUAUUCAUUUCAUGGGAGUUACGCUUUCCUGCAUCUUUCUGCAGACUCCUUCACAUAGAAAUUUUCCUAGACAAGGUCAUCAUUUGUAAGCCCUCCUUUGUCUUUGGUUUGCAGCUACCUGUUGAAAAUAGGUCCACAUUGGUUUAUUUCUACCACAGAUUUUGGAUUGAGGAAGAUGCAUCAGGUGCAGUCUGGGAAGAGUGACCAUUUGUCCUCGUAUGUCAGACUGCAGCUCCUAUUCCAACAUAAUUAAUAGUGCACUUUUACUUGCUAAGUGAUCUAGUUUAGAAAAUACACUAUAUGAUCACCCUGAAUCUCAGCCCCCAGAAAGGGUGAACAUAAAGUCAUCAAUUUUAUUACUGCUCAUGGCACUGCCCCUCUCCGUAGUGAGGAGACUUGCAGGAAUAGGUUGAUUUGCAUCUUCCUGGAUUUGUUUAUGUUUAUCCUUUUGUUUGUUUCUCCAGUUGGAGUAUGUUGCAAUGAACCGCUCACGGAAUGGAAUCACGGAAGAACUUAUUGGAAGGGGAACCAAGGCAGCUCCAAGGUUUUCCACUCAGGGGCUCGUGGCUGUCCCCAUAGAGUGCUUCUACUGAUACACUGAGGGGCCCAUAAUUUCCACUUUGUAGGUUCAUACGUUUCUAGAUUCUCAGCUCCAAAUUACACAAUCCUGGCACAAAAUUCGACUGGCUGAGUUUGAGUUAAAUAUUUACUGACUCUAGCAGGAGGCAGGGCUCCUUACCACAGACAGGGUGGUUGGCAGCAACCACUGUGUAUUGGGAGAGUUUUCAGAGAAAAGUGAAUUGGAGUCAGGCAGCCAUCCUAAGUGGUGUCUACUCCAUUUAUUUUUUCUUUUUCAAAUUUAUUUAAUUUUAUUUUUUUUUAUUUCAAUAGGUUUUUGGGGAGCAGGUGGUGUUUGAUUACAUGAAUAAGUUCUUUAGUGGUAAUUUCUGAGAUUUUGGUGCACCCAUCACCUAAGCAGUGUACACUGUACCCAUUGUGUAGUCUUUUAUCCCUCACCACCCCCACCCUUUCCCCCAUGUCCUCAAAGUCCAGUGUAUCAUUUUUAUGCCUUUGCAUCCUCAUAGCUUAGUUCCCAUACAUGAGUGAGAACAUACAAUGUUUGGUUUUCCAUUCCUGAGUUGCUUCACUUAGAGUAAUAGUCUCCAAUUCCAUCCAGGUUGCUGCAAAUGCCGUCAUUUUGUUCCUUUUUAUGGCUGAGUAGUAGUACAUGGUAUAUAUAUGCCACAUUUUCUUUAUCCACUUAUUGACUGAUGGGCAUUUGGGCUAGUUCCGUAAUUUUGCAAUUGCAAAUUGUGCUGCUAUAAACGUGUGUGCAAGUAUCUUUUUCAUAUAAUGACUUCUUUUCUUUUGGGUAGAUACCCAAUAGUGGGAUUGCUGGAUCAAAUGGUUGAUUUACUUUUAGUUCUUUAAGGAAUCUUCACACUGUUUUCCACAGUGGUUGUACUAGUUUACAUUCCCACCAACAGUGUAAAAGUGUUCCCUUUUCACCACAUCCACACCAACAUCUAUUAAAGAUUUGUUAUUUUCGCUUAGUCUUGCUUUAACUAUGUGGGCUCUUUUUUGGUUCCAUAUGAAUUUUAGGAUUUUUUUUUUCCUAAUUCUGCGAAGAAUGAUGGUGGCAUUUUGAUGGGAAUUGCAUUGAAUUUGUAGAUUGCUUUUGGCAGUAUGGUCAUUUUCACAAUAUUGAUUCUACACAUUCAUGAGCAUGGGCUGUGUUUCCAUUUGUGUUGUCUAUGAUUUCUGUCAGCAGUGUUUUGUAGUUUUCCUAGUAGAGGUAUUUCACCUCCUUGGUUAGGUAUAUUCCUAAGUAUUUUAAUUUUUUUUGCAGCUAUUGUGAAAGGUGUUGAGUUCUUGAUUUGAUUUUCAGCUUGGUCACUGUUGGUAUGUAACAGAGCUACUGAUACGUGUACAUUAAUUUUAUAUCCUGAAAUUUUGCUGAAUUCAUUUACCAGUUCUAGGAGCUUUUUGAAUGAGUCCCUAGGGUUUCUAAGUAUAUGAUCAUAUCAUCAGCAAACAACGAUGGUUUGACUUUCUCUUUACCAAUUUAGAUGCCCUUUCUUUCUUUCUCUUCUCUGAUUGCUCUGGCUAGAACUUCUAGUACUCUGUUGAAUAGAAAUGGUGAAAGUGGGCAUCCUUGUCUUGUUCCAGUUCUCAGGGGGAAUGCUGUCCACUUUUCCCUGUUUAGUAUAAUGUAGGCUGAGGGUUUGUCAUAGAUGGCUUUUAUUACCUUAAGGUAUGUCCCUUCUAUCCCAAUUUUGCUGAGAUCUUUAAUCAUAAAGUAUUGCUGGAUUUUCUCAAAUGUUUUUUCUUCAUCUAUUGAGAUGAUCAUGUGAUUUUUGUCUUUAAUUCUGUUUAUGUGGUGUAUCACAUUUAUUGACUUAUGUAUGUUAAACCAUCCGUGCAUCCCUGGUAUAAAACCCAAUUGAUCAUGGUGGGUUAUCUUUUUGAUAUGCUGUUGGAUUUGGUUAGCUAGUAUUUUGUUGAGUAUUUUUCCAUCUAUGUUCCUCAGGGAUAUUGGUUUGUAGUUUUCUUUUUUUGUUAUGUCCUUUGCUGGUUUUGGUAUUAGGGUGAUACUGGCUUCAUAGAAUGACUUAGGGAGGACUCCCUCUUUCUCUAUCUUUUAGAACAGUGUUAAUAGGACUGGUACCAAUUCUUCUUUGAAUAUCUGAUAGAAUUCAGCUGUGAAUCCGUCUGGUCCUGGACCUUUUUAAAUUGGCAUUUUAAAAAUUACCAUUUCAAGCUCACUGCUUGUUACUGGUCUGUUCAGACAUUCUAUAUUUUCCUGGUUUAAUCUAGGAGGAUUUUAUAUUUCCAGGAACUUAUCCAUCUCCUCUAGGUUUUCUAGUUUAUGUGUAUAAAGCUGUUCAUAGUAGCCUUGAAUAAUCUUUUGUACUUCUGUGGUGUCAGUUGUAAUAUCUCCUGUUCCAUUUCUAAUUGAGUGUAUUUGGAUCUUCUCUCUUCUUUUCUAAUGGGCUAUCAAUUUUAUUUAUCUUUUCAAAGAACCAGCUUUUUGUUUCAUUUAUCUUUUGUUUUUUUUGUUGUUGUUGUUGUUGUUGUUUCAAUUUCAUUUAGUUCUGCUCUGAUCUUGGUUAUUUAUUUUCUUCUGCUGGGUUUGGGUUUGGAUUUUCUUGUUUCUUCUCUAGUUCUGAGAGACGUGACCUUAGACUGUCAGCUUUUGCUCUUUCAGACUUUUUGAGGUAGGCAUUUAACGCUAUGAACUGAAAGGAAAAUAUCUCGGACCCCCAAAAUCACUAAGGAAAACUCAACUAAGGAAACUGCUUAGGGCAAACCUGCCUCCCAUUCUAUCCAAAGUCACUCCUCUGCUUACUGAGCUAGAUGCAUAUCUGAUUUGCCUCCUCCGGAAAGGCUAAUCAGAAACUUGAAAGAAUGUAAUCCUGUAUGACCUAUCUGUGACCUGGAAGCUCCCUCCCUGCUUCUCGUCUUCCUGCCUUUGCUUCAAGUUGUCUCACCUUCCAGACCAAACGAAUGUACUUCCUACAUGUAUUGAUUGAUGUCUCAUAUCUCCCUAAAUGUAUAAAACCAAGCUGUGCCCUUACCACCAUGGGCACAUGUCAUCAGGACUUCCUGAGGCUGUGUCACGGGAGUGUACUCAACCUUGGCAAAAUAAACUUUCUAAAUUAACUGAGACCUGUCUCAAAUUUUGAGGUUCACAGAACUUUCCUCUUAGCACUGUUUUUGCUGUAUCCCAGAGGUUUUGAUAGGUUGUGUCAUUACUAUCAUUCAUUUCAAAGAAUGUUUUAAUUUUCAUCUUUAUUUCAUUGUUGACCCAAUGAUCAUUCAGGAGCAGGUUAUUUAAUUUCCAUGUAUUUGCAUGGUUUUGAGGGUUCCUUUUGGAGUUGAUUUCGAAUUUUAUUCCACUGUGGUCUGAGAAAUUACUUGAUAUGAUUUUGAUUUUCUUAAAUUUGCCAAGAUUUGUUUUGUGCCUAUCAUAUGGUCUAUCUUGGAGAAUAUUCCAUGUACUGAUGAAUAGAAUGUGUAUUCUGCAGUUGUUGGGUAGUAUGUUCUGUAAAUAUCUGUUAAGUCCAUUUGUUCUAGGGUGUAGUUUAAGUCUAUUGUUUCUUUGUUGGCUUCCUAUCUUGAUGACCUGUGCAGUGCUGUCAGAGGAGUAUUGAAGUCCCCCACUGUUACUGUGCUGCCGUCUAUCUCAUUUCUUAGGUCUAGUAGUAAUUGUUUUAUAAAUUUGAGAGCUCCCAUGUUAGGUGCAUAUAUAUUUAGAAUUGUGGUAUUUUCCUGUUGAACUAAUCCUUUUAUCAUUAUAUAAUGUCCCUCUUUGUCUUUUUUAAUUGCCAUUGCUUUAAAGUUUGUUUUGUCUGAUAUAAGAAUAGCUACUUCUGCUCACUUUUGGAGUCCAUUGACAUGGAAUAUCUUUUUCUACCUCUUUACCUUAAGUUUAUGUGAGUUCUUAGGUGUCAGAUGAGUCUCCUGAAGACAGCAGAAACGUGGUUGGUGGAUUCUUAUCCAUUCUGCAAUUCUGUAUCUUUUAAGUGGAGCAUUCAGGCCAUUUACAUUCAAUGUUAGUAUUGAAAUGUGAGGUACUGUUCUAUUCAUUGUGCUAUUUGUUGUCUGAAUACCUUUUUUUAUCAUGUUAUUGUUAUAUAGGUGAGAUUUAUGCUUUAAGGAGGUUCUAUUUUGGUGUAUUUUGAGGAUUUGUUUCAAGAUUUAGAGCUCCUUUUAGCAGUUCUUGUAGUCCUGGCUUGGUAGUGGGGAAUUCUCUCAGCAUUUGUUUGUCUGGAAAAGAUUGCAUCUUUCCUUCAUUUAUGAAGCUUAGUUUCACUGGAUACAAAUUCUUGACUGAUAAUUGUUUUGUUUAAGGAGGCCAAAAGUAAGACCCCAAUCCCUUCUAACUUGUAGGGUUUCUGCUGAGAAAGCUACUGUUAAUCUGAUAGGUUUUCCUUUAUAGGUUACCUGAUGCUUUUGCCUCACAGCUCUUAAGAUUCUUCCCUUUGUCUUGACUUUACGUAACCUGAUGACUAUGUGCCUAGGCAAUUAUCUUUUUGUGAUGAAUUUCCCAGGUGUUCUUUGAGCUUCUUGUAUUUGAAUAUCUAGAUUUCUAGCAAGGCCAGGCAACUUUUCCUCACUUAUUCCCUCAAAUAUGUUUUCCAAACUUUUAGAUUUCUCUUUUUCUUCAGGAACACCAAUUAUUCUUAGGUUUGGAUGUUUAACAUAGUCCCAAACUUUUUGGAGGCUUUGUUCAUUUUCUUAAAUUCCUUUUUCUUUGUCUUUGAUGGGUUAGGUUAAUUUGAAAGCCUUGUCUUUGAGCACUGAAGUUCUUUCUUCUGCUUGUUCAACUCCAUUUAUUUUUUCAAGUUGAGGUCUCACUCCGUCACCCAGGCUGGAGUCCAAUGGUACAAUCACAGCUCAUUGCAGCCUUGAACUCCUGGGCUCAAGCAGUCCUUCCACCUCAGCCUCCUGAGUAGUCUACUCCAUUUUUAUCUGUGCUAUCUCAGUUACUUUUUUUUUGUUUUUUUGAGAUGGAGUUUCACUCUUGUUGCCCAGGCUGGAGAGCAAUGGCAUGAUCUCAGCUCACUGCAACCUCCACCUUCCAGGUUCAAGCAAUUCUCCUGCCCCAGCCUCCCAAGUAGCUGGGAUUACAGGCACCUGCCACCACGCCCAGCUAAUUUUUGUAUUUUUUAGUAGAGACGGGUUUUCACCAUGUUGGCCAGGCUAGUCUCGAACUCCUGACCUCAGGCUAUCCGCCUGUCUCGGCCUCCUAAAGUGCGGGGAUUACAGGAGUGAGACACCAUGCCCGGCCAGUUACAUUUUUAUAAUUGGAACUAUUUUUGCAAUAUGAAGAGUUUAUUGUCUCAAUAUUUCCCUUGACCCUCUCCCACAGUCAUGCCCUGGCCACCUGUGCUCAUUACCUUAAGAACAGGCAUGAGGUAUCAAAAAUGAGAGAAAAAAAUGGACCCUUAAGGAGAGGAAAGUUCUUAUGGGAUGGUAAGAAAAGUAUUAACAGCAAGGAUUCUCGACCAAGAUUAUUGUUCCUUAAAUUAGGGAGAUAUAUAGAGUUGAAAGGAAACUUUGAGAUGAAAAUAUCAGUAGGACCAAGAAAGAGUGACCUCGCACACUCCUUCCCAGACCAUGCCCCAGGGGGAAGACAGAAACUCCAGGCUGAUUUGUGGAUCUGAGACAUUCAGUGUUUUCUGGAGAGACAGCAAGAUCCAGGAAGAGCAGAAUAAUCCCCAAGCACACUGGAGCAGUAUGGGAGUGGCAGAGAGAACCACUAAACCCCAAAAGACCAUGCAGGUGGGGAAGAGGGAAGGCCCCAUACACAACUAACUGCCUAGGCAAUGGACAUGCCACCAGCUGCCUAGAACACAGCAGAUAAUGAAUCAAUCAAUCAAUACCUCCAUUAAUAAGUGUCAUUGAGGGCUAAAUCAAAUAGUCACCUGUGACACUGUGGUACCUAGUAAACUCCAUAGAAUUUAAGCAGAAUCCUGAGGAAACCAGGAUUAAAAUGCUGCCAUCCUGAAUUGAAAAAGAAAAACAAAAAUUUUCAUUUCUCGCAUGGUCAAAGCUGUGAACUGAGAUUUACACUUGCAAUGCUUAUGUGUGAAAACUGAAUUACACACAGUAACUUUUACUGCUCUGUGAGACUGUUUAUAUGGAAUGGGAUUUAUUCAUUUCUUGACAGUUUGAGCACCUUCACCAUCAAUACUAACUAUACAUACAUACAAAUGUAGCUUUUGAGGAAAUGGAUAGAAUUUUGAAAACAUUGACAUUGGUGUUUUGGGAAGUUUUUGCUAUUUUUACUUUCUUUCAGUAUUUUUUUCUUCUAACUUUUAUUUUAGGUUCAGAGUUACGAGUGCAGGUUUGUUACAUGAGUAAAUUGCAUGUCACUGGGGUUUGGUGUAUGAAUUAUUUCAUCAUCCAGGUAGUGAGCAUAGUACCCCAUAGGUAGUUUUUCAGUUCUCCCCAUCCUCUCACCCUCCACCCUUAAGCAGGCCGCAGUGUCUACUGUUCCCUUCUUUGUGUCUAUGUGUACUCAAUGUUUAGAUCCUACUUACAAGUAAGAAUAUACAAUGUGUUUUUUAAAAGGAAUCACAUUAUUUACUUUUCCUUCUUGUUUGGAGUAAUAAAUACUAUUUUCCUUUAUUAAAAAGUGAUAUGUGUCAUGGCUGGGCACAGUGGCUCACAACUACAAUUCCAGCACUUUGGAGGCUGAAGUGGGAGGAUCACUUGAGGAGUUUGAGACCAGCCUGGGCAACAUAGCAACACUCUGUCUCUAUAAAAACUAAAAAAAUUUAAGUGGUGGUAUGCGUCUGUAGUUCCAGCUACUUGGGAGGCUGAGGUAGGAGGAUCACUUGAGCCCAAGAGGUUUAGGCCACAGUGAACCAUGAUCUGUCUACCACACUCCAGCCUAGGCAAUAGAGUGAAACUCAGUUAAAAAAAAAAAAAGUGGUAUGAGUCUCUUGUAGAAAAUUCAGAUGAAGCAAAGACAUUUUAAAUUAUCUAAUUUUAUGAUUCAGAAAUACUGUUGUUAAGAAAUUGGUAUCUUUAUCUGUAAUUAUUAAAUAUAUCAUGCUUAAUAUUUGAUCAUCUAUAUUUUCUGUAUUUUCCAUUUCUUUUAGACAUUUUAAUCAAUUAUUUAUAAUUAUAUGGAGUAUUUACUUAUAAUUUGUAUUUUCAAGUAUCUUAUAAUGUUAUUUUUUUAACCCCUCAACUAGUUUUAUUACCAAAAUAAAAACUGUAGCAGCUACACACAUUUUCUUCCUUUCUUAUUGUACAUAACACUGAGUGUUGGUGGUUAAUUUUACAACCUAGCCUUUAGAUUAUAGAAUGUCCAAGAUACAAUGGUGACUAAAAGAGACGAGGACUUAACAUCACCCUGGGAUGAAUGCAGUGGCUGCAGCCGCCUCCUCGCAGGGGUCCACUCUGUGCUCCCUGCUUUGGGGAAAGAGUGAACUUGUAUUCAUCUGUAUGAGAAAUAUAGUUGCAUUCUGUUAGGAAGAAGUGUUUAUAAUGUUAUUUUAAAAUAUAAUUUAAAUAUUUGUCAUGGUAAAAUUUGGGAAAUAAACACAAAUAUAAACAUACAACAAAUAACUUGUAAUACCAUCACAGAGAGAGAACAAUUGUUAACAUUUUAGUGUUUUCAUUUCAGGUCUUUGUGUUUACACAUACAUCACACAUGUACAAAUUGAGAUUAUAUGAUAUAUUAUAUUAUAAUUUGUAAACUUAAAAAUUCUCUUUACAUAUAUGCGCUUUCAUUUUUUUCUUUACUAGAUUUGUUACAAAACUUUCAGUCAUCAUAUAAAAUAAAUUUUUAUUAAUUAUUACAUAUAUUGUGUUUAUUUGAAUUAUUUCUAGUUUAGGUUUAUUAUGUUCUUGUUCCUGUUCUCUUAAAAAUGUCUUUGUUGACACUUGUUUCUUGGUUGGGCAGUUUAUUUAUUUUCCUCCUUUUAUUCAGAAUAAUAAAGACAUCUAUGACUGUGGCAAAGUGAAAGCUAAAGAGUAUGUUAUUUUCUCAUUAUUUUUAUUUUUCCUCCUUAAUUCAAUAGUUAUUUGAGAUAUUGGAUUUUAAAAUAGAUACACAAGUUAAUAUUUUUAAAGUGGCAUUUUUUAUGAUUCUAACACUUUGGAGAGAAAUAUGAAAGCACAAUAAAAGUAAAAAUUAACUGUAUUCCAUAAUACAGCAAUAACUGUUAUCAAUAUUUAGUCACAUAUACUUUUCAUUGUUACCAGCAUAUGUAAAAUACAUUGAAAUGAGAUAAUAUUGUAUAUAUUGCUUUGUGAAAUGCCUUUUUCUGCUUCAUAACACGGCAUGAAUAUUUCACCACAGUAUAAUUUUAUAAUGUUCCUGUAGAAUCUUACCAUAUUGAAUGCUUGGAACAUUUAUUCCCUUUUUUCCUAUAGCAGACACUCUUGUACAUAAAAUCAUUAUAGAUAGAUCUGAUUAGUUCUCCAGGAAAACUCCUGAAAUUGAAUUAUUGGGUCAACUUUUAAGGGCAUUUUAAGGCUUUUGAUUUAUAGUAGUAAUUAGUUCUACAGAAAAGUCACCCAAACUUACACUUCCAUCAGUAGUAAAUAAAAGGUCCUUUUCAUACUAUUUCUAUUUCUUUUUUAUGAGUAACUUCACGUUUCUAUUCAUUAAACAAUCAUUGAUUCCAUUUUUUUCUUAUUUACUUGUUACAGCUUUUACAAGUUUAUUAUCCCUUUGUGGACCAUGUUGUUUCUUUUUUUCUUUUUUUUUUUUGUCAUUUACCUUUUAAAUUUGCCUUCGCUUGCUUUUUCUAUUUAAACGUUUAUUUCUUUCCAAUUUUGUUGCAUUUUGGUUAUUUAUAAAUAUUAUACAAGUGAUCAUUGCUAAAGUAUACAUGAGUGUAGCUGUCUCUUGUGUUUAUUCUAUCUGAUUUUUUCAUGGUUAUCUCCCUGUUGCCUUGAGAAAGACAGUUGUCACUUAGUUCUCUGGCAGUGUUCUUUCCUGUUCUUUGUUAAUUCCAUAAGAGCCCUUGCAUCAAUUCAUUUUCCAACUCUCCCUCUUACUUGUUCCAGCAAGUAAAAUCAAAUUGGUGUUUAUACAAUGAAUAAACCAAAGGUAACUGAGAUCAAAGUUUUCUGGAAGAUGAUUGAUAAGGGGACUUUGGUGUAAUACUUGUAUUAAAAAGUAAAUAUUUAAUUGGAAAGCAAUACAUUAAAAGGACACUAUGUAUUUUUAAUUAACUUCAUUCUGUUGCAAUUCCAUUCUAUUUCCCUCUGCAAUUAUACUUUCUUCUGAGUCAUCUACUUCUCUUUCUCUCUCUUUGUCAGAUCAUUCCCAUAUACAACCAUGGGCUGGUGUCUCCAAUUCUAAAAUGAACAAACAAGCAAAACACAAGCUAAUAAUACAUAAAUUAACCUCCCUUUGUUCCGCAUGAGCUUGUGCCUAUUUCUACGCAGUCCUUCAAUUCAAAACGGCUGGCUAGUGUUGUCAGGAGCUGCCAUUUCCACUUCCUCUCAUCACAUUUCCUCUGCUAACAUUUCUAGUCACACUGUUUCCCCAUUUCUUCACUGAGGCAGCUCUUGUGGAGGUCACCAAUGUGCCCCGUUUUGUUAUAUCCAGUGGUCACUUCCCUGUUCUGAUUUCACUUGCUCUUUCAGCAGCAGCAGACAAGGACGGCCACCACUUCCUUCUGCUCUUGAUUUCAGUGGUGCCACUCCCUCCUGAUUUCCUCCUAUCCCUUGGGCUGUAUCUCCAUAGCCUCCUUUUUUGGAUCAUCUUUUUCUGCUUGGCCUGGAAAUACUGGGAAACUCUAAAAUUAAUACUGGACUCAUUUUCUUCCCUAUCUACAUAAUCUCCCUAUAAGACUUUAUCCUGUCCUGUGGAUUAAAAUUCUAUGUAAGGGCUUUUCAAUGUCUGUUUUCUUUCACUCAGCAAAAUGUUUUUGAAAGUCAUCCUUGGAAUUGCAUGCCGUACUAGUUUGCUUGUUUCAUGUUUAUUGCUGUGUAGUAUUACAUUAUGUGACUAUACCACAAAUGGUAUAUUUAUUCACCUCUUGGUGGACAUUAGGGUCAUGCUUGGUUUUGGCUACUAUAAGUAAAGCUACAAUGCACAUUCAAGUUAUAUGCAUCUCUAUAUGGAAAUAGUUUUCAUUUUGGGGGCAGUGAGGGAAUGCUUUGGUGAGGAAUUGCUGCAUCCUUUGACAAGUGUAUGUUUAACUUUAGGAGAAACAGCCAAAAUAUUUUCCAAAGCAGUUGUACCAUUUCACAUUCCCACCUGCCAUGUAUGAAGUUCCACUUGCUCUACAUGCUUGCUAUUAUCUGUUAUUGCUUGAUUUUUUUAAAAAGAGCCUUUCUAAUGGAUCAGUCAUGAUUUUAAUUUGUGUUUUCUGAUGAGUAAUGUUCUUAAACACCUUUUUGUGUACUUACUGGGGAAAUGGCCAAAUUUGUUAGGUUAUUUUUCUAUUAUUGAGUUGCAAGACUGGUUUGUAUAGUCUGUAUAUAUAUCCUUUAUCAGAUAUAUGUGCUGGGAAUAAUUUUUUCCAGUUUAUACCAGGCUCUAUCCCUCUAUCUAAGGAUGCAACUUCUCUACAAAUAGCCGACUGUACAGGAUUCAGCUUCUUUCUGGAUUCAAGUAGCCACACUCUCAUCCUCCCUUCAGGUCUACACAUGAUACAAGCCAGGCUGCCUCUCACUAGGGAACACUGCACCAAUAUAUACCAUUCUCCUACACACACGUUUGUGUGCAGGAGAUAUUUCUUUUGAAAGUAAACACUCCUUUAGCCAUAUUUCUCCUUAUGGUCCCUUUUCCUCUAUUCUUUUCCCUUUUCCUCUGUUCUUUUCUCUUUUUUUCUUUCUUCUUCCUUCUUCUUUCCUUCCUUUCUUCUUUUCUUCCUUCCUUCCUUUCAUUCUUUCUGAUUGAAAGAAUCUUCCCCCACUGGAAUAUAAACAUUAUGAAAGAACUGACCCAUGAGUCUUAAAAGUGAUCGCUGUAUCUUUUUAAAAAGGCUUGCUAAAUAAAUAUUUGUUGAAUGAAUAAACGUGUGAAUAAAGAGCAAAUUUUUUUCCAGGAAAAAAGCCUAGUUUGAUUCCAGGUUGAUAGAAAGUUUUAAUAAACCUAAAGAAAAAUAUAAAAGGAGACUUUCUCCUUCUACAAACCAGGCCUUUAGGACAGCUUCAUCAGCAGGGGGAGUGAGCAAGAGACUGGGCAGCACCACAGAAAGCUUCUGCAAAGCUUCUCUAAACACCAAUGCCCAGGGUUCACACCAGGCACACUGAGGCAGGACCCCUGCAAGUAGGUUCUAGGAAUCUCUGCUUUUCAAAAACUCUCCAGGUAAUUCUAGCACAGUGAGUUGCUCCUCCACGCAGCCUCCGCUGCUGCUUCCUCUGGCUUCACAUCACACCACCAUAAGCCACAUUUCUCUGCAGGUCAAAGAUGAAGGUCAGUAUGGCAUGGUAAGGCCACACUGAAUGUUUAUAAAAAAUAUCUACUACUAUUUGUAUAAUGUUUCUUUCAGUCUUGGUCCUUGGAAAACAAGUAUCAGUCUGUCAUUGUAUUCAAAGGCAGAAUUCAGUCUUAAAUUUUGGCAAGAAGUUCAAAACUUGAUAAUACUCAGUUAUAAUCUAAACAAUUAAUUCACAGUGAUCCUCAAGCAAAAUGAAUUGUUGUUACCUCAUCCUGGUUAAGAAACAUUAUAAGGGAUUCUAUUAUGAUGCAAAUUACUCCUUUAAAGUCUGUUUCCUUACAGAAAUAAGCCUGUUUUGCCACUCCUAUUCAACAUAGUACUGGAAGUCCUGGCCAGAGCAAUCAGGCAAGAGAACGAAAUAAAAGGCAUUCAAAUAGGAAGCGAGGAAGUCAAAUUAUCUCUGUUCACAGAUGGCAUGAUUCCAUAUCUAGAAAACCCCAUAGUCCAGGCCCAAAAGCUUCUUAAGGCUGAUAAACAACUUCAGCAAAGUUUCAGAAUAUAAAAUUAAUGUACAAAAAUAAGUAGUAUUCCUGUCCAGCAACAACAUCCAACAUGAAAGCCAAGUUAAGAACACAAGUCCAGUCAUAGUUGCCACAAAAACAAUAAAAUACCUAAGAAUACAGCUAACCGGGGAGGUGAAAGAUCUCUACAAUGAGAACUACAAAAUACUGCUCAAAGAAAUCAGAGGUGACACAAACAAAUGGAAAACAUUCCCUGCUCACAGACAGAAAGAGUCAAUAUUGUUAAAAUGGCCAUACUACUCAAAGUAGUUUACAGAUUCAAUGCUACUCCUAUCAAACUCCAAUUACCUUCUUCACAGAAUUAGAAAAACUAUUUUAAAAUUCAUAUUAAACCAAAAAAGAGCUCAAAUAGCCAAGGCAAUCAUAAGCAAAGAGAACAAAACUAGAGGCAUCAUGUUACCUGACUUCCAGCUAUACUACAGGGCUACAGUAACCAAAACAGCAUGGUACUGGUAUAAAAACAGACACAUAGACCAAUGGAAAAGAACAGAGAACCCAGAAAUAAUGCCAUGAAUGUACAGCCAUCUGAUCUUCAAUAAAGUUGACAAAAACAAGCAGUGAAGAAAGGACUCCUUGUUCAAUGUUGGGAUAACUGGCUAGACAUAUGCAGAAAAUUGAAACUGGACCCCUUCCUUAUACUGUAUUCAAAAAUCAACUCAAGAUGGAGUAAAGACUUAAAUGUAAAACCUAAAACUAUAAAAACACUGGAAGAUAACCUAGAAAAUACCAUUCUGGAUAAGGGAUUUUAUCACAAAGAUGCCAAAAGCAACUGCAACAAAAACAAAAAUUGGCAAAUGGGACCCAGUUCAUCAAAAGAGCUUUUCUGUAUAGCAAAGGAAACUAUCAACAGAGUGAACAGACAACCUACAGAAUGGGAGAAAAUAUUUUCAAACUAUGCAUCUGACAAAAGUCUAAUAUCAAGAAUCUAUAAGGAGCUUAAACAAAUCAACAAGCAAAAAACAACCCCAUGAAAAACUGGGCAAAGGACAUGAACAGACACUUUUCAAAAGAAGACAUACAAGUGGUCAAGAAACAUGAAAAAAAUGCUCAACAUCACUAAUUAUUAGAGAAAUGCAAGUCAAAACUACAAUGAAAUACCAUCUCACACCAGUCAGAAUGGCUAUUAAAACAUUAAAAAAAUAACAGAUGCAGGUGAGCUUGUGAAGAAAAGGGAAUGCUUACAAACAGCUGGUGGGAACAUAAACUAGUUCAGCCAUUGUGGAAAGCAGUUUGGUGAUUUCUCAAAGAACUCAAAGCAGAAUUACCAUUCAACCCAGUAAUCCCAUUAUUGGGUAUAUAUCCAAAAAAUAUAAAUCAUUCCAUUAUAAAGAUAGAUGCAUGCAUUUGUUCAUCACAACACUAUUUACAAUAGCAAAGACAUGGAAUAAACCUACAUGCUCAUCCGUGGUAGACUAGAUAAAUAAAAUGUGAUACAUAUACACCAUGGAAUACUAUGCAGCUAUAAAAAGGAAUGAGAUCAUGUUCUUUGUUGGAACAUGGAUGGAGCUGGAGGCCAUAAUUCUAAACAAACUAAAACAGGAAGUGAAAACCAAAUACCAUAUGUUCUCGCUUAUAAGUGGGAGCUAAACGCUGACUACACAUGGACACAAAAAAGGGAACAACAGACCCAGGAGCCUACUUGAGAGUGGAGGGGCAGAGGAGGGUGAGGAUUAAAAAAUUACCUAUCGGGUACUAUGCUUAUUACCUGGAUGGUCAAAUAAUCUGUACAUCAAACCCCCAUGACACAAGUUUUCCUUUGUAACAUGAACCUAAAAUAAAAGUAAAAUAAAACUAACUCAUAUAAACAAGUUUAAAAAAAUGAGCCUGUUUUGAAGGAACUAGUUCCAAGUUCUUUACACACUGCUGCCAUCAUAAAGCAUGAGAGAACGUAGCCUUCUUAUUGAAGGAAAACUGAAUGCCGAGUGUUGCUCCAUUAAUCGACAGGCCUUCCCAAUUCAAUUCUACAUGACCACAAACAUGAUUCUCCAAUUUGUCCUUUUUCUUCACAUCUUCGCUUGCAUUCUAACUACCUAGAUUAUUCAAAGAAACCUCUUAUCCCUUUAAAUGAUUUCAGUUUCUAUGACAUUCUGAAUUCUCCCUGCUGUGAAUUAAAACUUGCCGAAGCAGAGCUCCAUGCAUGUUCCUCUCACACUUCAACACUCUCGACCUGUUUUACAAUGUCAUCUACCUUCCCAUCCUCCAAAUGCAUUUUACAAAUUUCAACCUCAGUGCUUUUGUUUUCAAAUAUUCCUGGCUUGUUCAUUAGUAGUUCCAAAAUUUCUAUAAAGGAGAGACUCUGGGACAGUUCUGUGACUGGAAAGACUGAGGGUUGCUAGCUGGGGACUUUUGUGAAGAUGGCAUGUUGGUUUUAUUUAUACCGCAGUUCAGUUUUUUGGAGGGGGAAGUUGUGGGUAUUAUGAUUAUGUAGUGUAGGGAUGGGGAUGUUAAAUUCUUGGCUACCAAUUUUUUAAAUCUCCCAAAAUGCACUUCUUCAUCCCAUGACCUGUCCAAUGUGUACUCAUUUUAUAGAAUGGGCCUCAUGUCUGAACUCCUUAAAAAUUACUCUUGACAAUCUCUGGUAACUUUCUUAAUGCUUUUUGUUUUAGUCCCACAUUAAUUAUACAUGAAAAUAUGUCUGGGCUCUCCAACUACAGUCCAACUGGACUGAGCACAAGAAAUACAUCUGAACUGAAGUAUCUAUUUAGCAUUUAACAUGGUUCUGUUAAAGUAGCAGGCAGCUAACUGACAUUUUUUGUCCAUUCACUUAGAUAACUAAAAUUGUAAUGGAAAUAAAUAAGUAUGUGAAAGAAAGUAGUGAUUGUCCAAAAGUGUCUUGAAGACAUUUUGAGUCAGAAGACAUGGGUGCAAUUCUACCACUGUGACCUUUGCAGAGUGCUAUAGUUUAGAUGUUUUGUCUCUCCCAAUCUCAUGUUGAAAUGUGAUCUCCAAUGUUGGAGGUGGGACCUGGCGGGAGGUGUUUUGAUCAUGGGGGUAAAUCCCUCAUGAAUGGCUUGGUGCCAUCUUUGAGUUCUCACACUAUGAGUUCACAAAAGAUCUGAUUGUUCAAAAGAGCCUGGAACUACCUCCUCUCUCUUUUGUUUCUUCUCUUGCAAUGUGACACACUGGUUCCCCUUUGCCUUCUGCCAUGAUUGGAAGCUUCCUGAGAUCUCAGCAAAAGCAGAUGCUAGUGCCAUGCUUCCUGUACAGCCUGCAGAACCGUGAGCCAAAUAAACCUCUUUUCUCUAUAAAUUACUCAGCCUCAGAUAUUUCUUUAUAGUAACACAAAAAUGGACUCAUACACUGAGUUAGCCACAUUUAUUCCCAGUUUUCCAAUGUUUGUGAGCCAUACGUGUGAUAAGGAGUUAAUUUCCAAAAUACUUAAGAAACAUAUUUGCUACAAUAUUUGCUAAAACUCAAUAGCAAAAAAAAAAAAAAAAAAAAAAAAAAACAACCUGGUAGCACAAUUUUUAAAUGAGCUAAAGACCUGAAUAGACAUUUCUUCAAGAAAACAUACAAAUGGCCAACUUGUAUAUGAAAAGUUGCUCAGUGUCACUAAUCACGAAGAAAUUGCAAAUCAAAACCACAAUGUGAGAUAUCACCCUACUCCUGUUAAGAUGUCUAUUAUCAAAAAAACAAAGACAACAAAUGUCGGUGAGGAUACAGAGAAAUUGAAUCCCUUGUACAUAGUUGGUGGGCAUGUAAAAUUGUGCAGCCAUAAUGAAAAACAGUAUUGAAGUGCCUCAAAAAAUUAAAAAUAGAGCUAACAUAUGAUCCAACAGUUCAACUUCUGGGUAUUUAUUCAAAAGGAUUGAAAUAAGGAUCUUGAAGAGAAAUUAAUACUCCCACGUUCAUUGCAGCAUUAUUAACAAUAGUCAAGAUGUAGAAACAACCUAAAUAUUCAUUGGAAGGUAAACGAAUCAAGAAAGUUUGGUGUAUACAUUCAGUGGAAUACUAUUCAGCCUUAGAAAAGAAGGACAUUCCGCAACAUGUGAAAACAUGGAUGAACUUUGAGGACAUUAUGCUAAGUCAGUCACAGAAAGGUAAAUACUGCAUGAUUUCACUUACAUAAGGAAUCUAAAACUGUCAAUUUCAUAAAAGCAGAGAGUAGAAUGGUGUUUGCUAGGGGCUGGAGGGAGAGGAGAAGGGGAAGUUACAGUCCAAUGGAUAUAAAAUUGCAGUUUUGUGAAAUCAAUAAGUUAUAGAGAUCUGAUGUACAGCGUCAUGCCUACAGUUAACAAUACUGUAUUGUACACUUGAAAUCUGUUAAGAAGGUAAAUCUCAUGUUAAGUGUUCUUAUCACAAAUGAAAAAUAAAGGGGAAUGAGGAAGACCUUUUCAAAAGUCUGGAAUGAGGAUAAAAUGAGACUAUGAAUGGGAAAAUACUGUGUAAACUGUAAAACUUUACACAAAUGUUAAUUCAUAAAGCAGCCAGGACCAUCUUUUUAAAUCUAAUAAUCAGGUUGUCUCAUUCGUAAGCUUAAAACUCUUCAAACAUAAUAUUUUGCAAUAAUAAAAGGCUCUCUCUAGCCUCAUCUGUCUUUCAUCACCACACACACACAUGCAUGCACACACAUGCAUGCACACACACACGUACACAUACAUGCACACGGGUAUUUCAGCAGUUUAGCCUCCCUUCCAUUCUUGUAAUAUUUCAAGUCCCUUCUAUCCCCGAGUCUUUCUUAUCCUUCAGCUCUUAGAUCAAACACAACCUCUACAGAGACCUUUCCAGACCAUCCUAUCUGAAUAACCUUCUCCCACCCCUUGCCUACUCAUUCAUCAUCUUGUUUAUUACUACCUAAUGCCACACUUUGAAAUCAUCUUGCUCAAUUUUUUUUGUUUGUUUUCUUAUUCAUCAUCGCUCCUGGCUCCGUGGGUUCAGGGUGUGGCCUGUCUCUCUUCUGUCCCCAGUAUCAGAGCAGAAUCUGGUACAUGGUAGACACUCAGUACCUGCGUGUAAAAAUUGAAUGAGGAUGUUAAGUGUUCCCACCACAAAAAUGACAACUAUGUGAGAUAAUGCAAGCUAGAUUUAGCCAUUCCACAAUGUAUAUAUACAGUAGUCCCUACUUAUCCAUUCCAAGAGGAUACAUUCCAAGACCCUCAGUAAAUGCCUGAAACCAUGCAUAGUACCAAACCCUACAUAUACUUGCGAAAGGAAAACCAAAACUUAGGAACCUAAUUUCACUCUGCUAAAAGAAAAUAUUAAGCUGAAAGCUGAGUCAUGCAAGAAGCUGCUUUUCCUUUUAUUCCCAAGCAGAGUAGUACAGAUAAAAGGUUAAACAUCUCCACAGGUAGCUACUGUACCCUCACCUUAUCUUAAGUGAAGCGCCGAUUUACUGAGAGCUAGAAGAACACAUAAUAGGCUAUUCCCCUACCUGCUCCUUUUCUCUUGCAACACAUGGAUUCAGUCAUGUAACCACAACUUCCCUCUUUCCCCUUUAAAUACCAAAGCCCUCAGAAUCGUCUUUGGAGCAAGGCACAGACCUCCCUUGCGGGCAUUUCCUUAACCUUGGCAAAAUUAACUUCUGAAUUGAUGGAGACCUUUCUCAGAUACUUUUUGGUUUACACACUAUACUUGGCAGUCAGUCUGAUCACCAAGACAGCUAAGUGACUAAUGGGCAGGUAGUGUAUAACAGCCCAGGUACGCCGGACAAAGGGAUGAUUCACAUCCUGGGUGUGAUGGACGGGACAGUAUGAUAUUUCAUCACACUACUGAGAAUGGCACACAAUUUAAAACUGAUUCUUAAUUUCUGGAAUUUUCCAUCUAACACUUUUGGACCAUGGUUGACCACAAGUAACUGAGACCGCAGAAAGGAAACUGCAGAUAAGGGAAGACUACUGUACUUCAGAACAUCAUGUUGUUCAUAAUAAAUACAAACAAUUUUUCUGUCAACUAAAAAAUAAAUAAAAAUAAAAUGUUUACUACCAUAAAAAGAAAAUGUGAUAUACACAUAUAAUGGAAUAUUAUUCAGCCUUUACACGGAAGGAAAUUCUAACACAUUUCUGCAACAUGGGUAAACCUUGAAGACAUUAGGCUGAAUUAAGUGCACCAUUUGAUUCAAUACAUAUUCUUUUAAAAAAUCUAUUCCACGUCCUCUAAAAUAUACCAUACAACUUUCAAACACUGAAAAAAUACACAAAAAAUAUAAAGUAGAAAAGGUGUUAGGAGUUAUCUUAGUGAGUAUUUUUACAAAACAGUAGUUAAAAGAUUAUAGCAGAUGGAAAUAAAGUAAACAAAAUAGCAUUAAAGCAUUUAAACAUCAUUAAAAAGAUUAAAUCAUUGUUGGUUUUAAAAUACACCUAUCCUCUUUCUCUUUUCAUAAUAUGUACCUCAAAAAUACAAUAAAAUACUAGUAGAAAUUAUCUCUAGAAGUUGAUAUCACAGAAAUUAUUUUUGCCUUGAGUUUUUUGCGAUGAUAAUGUAUUACUCUUAAAAUCAGAGAAGCUGUAAUGCCAUUUCAAACAAAGUAGAAAAGCCUCCCCAUUCCCUGCCCCACCACUUCCCUCUUGCAAUGCGGUUUUUCAAUAGAAGCGCAGAGUAGAGGAAGGUGAUCCUAAGGAUUCUCCUCCUAAGAGGGCCAGGACUGCACCUCGCUGGCCUGGGGUUCACACAGGACUGGUCCUGGAGCCCUGCCUGCUCCAUCUGGGGGAGGAAGCCCAGGACUGGGCUGCAGGUUUGUGAAUAGGGGCACCGAGGCGUGCAGCGACGCUGAGUGACUCUUCCAUAAUGCAGGGCUGAGUGGGCAGCAGGCCAGACGUGGGUCAGGGAGCGUUCAUCCCGAACCGUGUCCAGCCCUGGCCUCGCCGGCCCAAGUCGCCCGCCCUGUGCAGCCAGGGGACGGCGACGAGGCUGAAGUGCCGCUUGUUUCCGAGCCUGGAUGAGUAAUGACGCGUUUCUUUUCCAGAAGCAACGUAAAUCUGGCUUGAGGCUGGCACAACACAGCAGGAGCAGUGCAGGCUGGUGGCCAGGCGCCCGGCCCUGCGGCUGCCGAAUCUUCGCGAAGCCUGCAUCCGAGGCGCGCACUGGUUCCAGGCCCUGCGGCCAUGCGAGGGAAGCCGCAGCGGUGGCCGCAGCGGUGGCGGCUCCUAGAGCGGUGCGGGCUGGUGCUGGCGGCAGGUGGGAUGGAGGGGGGUGGGCUCUUCAUGUCUCUCAACCCCUGAUUAGAAUCCGUGUCGAUUUCUGGACACGCGGGCCGAGAGGAGCUGAGAUCCGGCCGGCAUUUCUCAGCCAUGAGUUCUUUUUUGUUUGUUUGUCUUUGUUUGUGUUUGUUUUGAGACGGAGUCUUGCUCUGUCCCCAGGCUGGAGUGCAAUGGCGCGAUCUCGGCUCAGUGCAACCUUCGCCUCCCGGGUUCAAGCGAUUCUCCUGCCUCAGCCUCCUGAGUAGCUGGGAUUACAGGCGCCUGCCACCACGCCCAGCUAAUUUUUGUAUUUUUAGUUGAGAUGGGGUUUCGCUAUGUUGGCCAGGCUGGUCUCGAACUCCUGACCUCGUGAUCCGCCUGCCUCGGCCUCCCAAAGUGCUGGGACUACAGGCAUGAGUAACCGCGCUUGGCAACCAUGGGUUCAAAGCAGGCGCAGGGAAGCUUCCGGAGGGUGCCUGGACGGCAGCUAAAUGGUUGGGGCCUGGCUCCUGGCUGACCCUGUCUCAUCCCGGGUGGCCGGCUCCCACCCGUUUCUACAGGGCCGGCCUCCUGCCCUAGGAUUCUGACUCUGCAGGCUUCCUAGCCCAGGAUUCCUUUUUUUUUUUUUUUUUUUUUUUGAGACAGAGUCUCACUCUGUCGCCCAGGCUGGAGCGCAGUGGUGCGAUCUCGGCUCACCGGUUUCACCGUGUUAACCAGGAUGGUCUUGGUCUCCCGACCUCGUGAUCCGCCCACCUCGGCCUCCCAAAGUGCUGGGAUUACAGGCUUGAACCGCCGCGCCCGGCCCCGAGCCCACGAUUCUAACACGCAGUGGAGGCUGAGAGCCUUGGCUGGGGCGCCCUAGCGUCAAGCUCACCAUGUGGCCUUUGCGGCACGUCUGCUUCUCUCUGCCUGGACCGCUCGGGUUUGAAGGCCCAGGGCGGGCCCCAGACGUCUCAGGGGCCAUAGAGGCGCUGCUUCCGGAACUGCUGGAAGAGGAUGACCAACUGCUGCUGCCAGGUCGAAGCGUCCUUGCGGAGGGACCCUACCAGGAAGGACAGGGAGCCACAGCCCUAGUCCCCUCGGCUCUCCUCCCGCCUCCCAGUGCCUGGUCCAGUGUCCCAGUGGCGGAAGCGAACAGGGACCAAUCCGCAAAGGAGAAAUUGAGUUGGCAGUGACAUUGCCGGAAAAUCACUACUGCGGAGUGCGGAGAGGUGGUUUGGGGCUGAUAGGCAAUGGUUUAAUUGCAGGCAGAGUCUUGCGCCUGAUUUGCCUAUCAUAAUGUCCUUGGUGGAAGUUAUGGACUUCCACCCACCCUGCUCCCACCCUCAGUGUGUGCAUUAAAUUCAGAACUCUCACCAGGCCCUAUGUUUGCUGUGUCCCCUGCCUCACUUCAUGCCCUGUACAGUGACCUUCCGUCCUGUCCUCAUGCUCACCGCACAGUCUUUGACCAGAGUUUUUGCAUCCCCAUCUCUGCAACUUCCCUCAAAUCUGCUGCAAGGCAACACAUCCUCUGCCUCCUUUAAAUCCCGAUUCAAUCCUCACUGCCCCGACCUAAGUCAGUUCCGUCCAUCAUAAAGUCCCUUGACGCCAUGCAGCAAUUCAGCAAUUCAGCAUCAUAUUUAUCAAGGAAGCUUGCUUGCAUUUGUGAGAUCCCUUUGGCACCUCCCUCUGCUAGAGGAUAAAUGCCAAGGUCGUGAACUGCCUCUCUCUCUCUUUUUUUUUUUCUGAGACGAAGUCUUGCUCUGUCACCUAAGCUGGAGUGCAGUGGCACGAUCUCGGCUCACUGCACCCUCUGCCUCCCAGGUUCAAGCAAUUCCCCUACCUCAGCCUCGGCAGUAGCUGGGAUUACAGGCGCACACCCAGCUAAUUUUUGUAUUUUUAGUAGAGACGGGGGGUUUUACCAUGUUGGCCAGGCUGGUCUUGACCUCAGGUGGUACACCCGCCUCAGCCUCCCAAAGUGUUGGAAUUACAGGCGUGAGCCACCACACCUAGCCGAACUGCCUCUCUCUUUGCUGGCCUCUUAACACCUUGCCUGGCACAAAGGAGGUCCUCAAAAAUGUGUGUUGAAUAAAACUUGCACAAUUCACUAAGCAAGACUCCUGCACUAAAGAUACCUAUUUUAAAACUUACAGAGUUUCUAGUUAGCUAGAACAUAGUAUCCAAGAGGCUGAGAAUCUUUGCCUAACCAUUUUAGGACCCUUUUACUCCGUGAAGCCAGUGCCCAUCACAAUGGCUUUCACAGAGUAAAAGGGUCCUAAAGUGGUUUUCCUGGGCAUGGUGGCUCAUACCUGUAACUCCUGAAUUUUGAGAGGCCAAAGUGGGAAGAUUGCUUGAGGCCAGGAGCUCGAGACCAGCCUGAGCUACAUAUUGAGACCUCAUCUCUACAAAAAAGUUUUAAAAAUUAGCCAGAUGUGGUGAUACACACCUGUAGUCCUAGCUACUCAGGAGGCUGAGGUGGAAGGAUCUUCUGGGCCCAGGAGUUCAAGGUUUCAGUGAGCUAUGAUGGUGCCACUGCAUUCCAGCCUGAGCGACAGAGUGACAUGCUGUCUCUAAGAAAAAAAAAAGGGUUUUCACUCCUAUCUCUAAUAACUCCUCUUCUAAGAAAAUAUUACAAGAAUGUAAUCAGAAAGGCAGACAAAGAUUAAAUACAAAUUUAAUUAUUAUUUGCACAGAAACAGCUGGAAACAAGCUAAAUAUCCUAUGUUAGAGAAUAAUUGAAUAAACUAUCAAGUACUUCUUGAUGGAAUAUUAUGAUGCCAUGAAAAUAGUACCUGAGAAUUUCUUUUUUUUUUUUUUACUUUGGAAACAUUUUAUGGGAUGAGGAUAAGAAGAAAAUUUAAUAUGCUACAUGUUAAAUUAUUUCAACUGUGCAAAAAAUAUACAGAAAGCAAUUGGGAAAAGUAGCCAAAUAAAGAAUGAUGCUAGGUAGUUGAUUGUUUUAUUUUCUUUUAUUUUUACCCUUUUUGUAUUAUUCAAAUUUUCCACAGUGUCACAAUGAAUAAAUCAAAAGCUAUGUAAAAAUUAAAGAAUUUGCCGCAAGUCCUGGGUUCAUAACUGUGACUGAUAGACAGCAAAAGGGUAAGCAGCCAACAUAGCCAAUGAGGACCGCAUGCUAAUUAGGUUCCUGGCACAAUUUCGGAAUAUAAGAAGGGCAGACAGAUUAUCCUGGGGUCCUCUUGUUCAGGCUGGGGUGUGAACAAGUGAGGGUGAGCAUUCUUCCAGAGACCCUGCGAACAACUCAGUGGGGUCACGCAGUGCAGCUGUGCUUAGUGGAGGGUAGGCAGUCAGGACAAAGUGAAUCCUCGGGUUGUGACCCAGCACGUGAUGUUAGCAAUGUGGUGCCUUGGUGCAGACUGAGUAAUCUCUCCCAUUUCUCCUCCUCCUGAGAAAUUCACGAGGCAGAGAGUGGUGGACCGACAGGAAUAGCUGCCAACCCUGAGGCAGAGAUGGACGUCUAGGGAUCUCUGGUGGGAAACAUGCCUGAUCACAGAUAAGACUCCUCAAGCGGCAAAAACACCCUGGCCUAAGAAAUGGAUAGGAACGUAGUUUGAAACCUUGCACUCGAUCACCCUGUUCCCAGUGGAAAUAGAUGCCUGCGCUAUAGUAAGUGUAAACUUUCUCUCGCUGUCUUUCUUACACGCACACACACAAAUACACACAUUCUCUUUCAUGUUGACCUGAGGAAAGUGACCCAGUGGCCUGACCCAGAACCUGAUUCCUUGCACACAUCUUGGCGCAGCCAUUGAGGUGCCCAGCACCCAGACACACAGCAUUUAACUGGGGCAGCUGGCUUCUCAGACCUGCCUGGGAACGCUAACUGGGCAUUGGAUACGGUGCGAGAGAGAGCUCAGAAUGCGUUUAUGGUGUCCAGCAGAUGACCAUCCCAGUGUGGGACUUUACAGUAGUAAUGAGCAAUGGAAAUUUUGAAAAUAUUUCUCAGAAAACAACCGCUGGCCAGAGAGCCCUAAUUUAGGAAUCUUGCACAACUUUUCCAUCACGUGAUGAAUUUUGAGUUUCUAGUGUCACAUGUGCCAGAGUUUUCAGAGUCCUGAGGCCUGUUUUGCUUUGUUUUCUUUGCCUUUUUAUAAUACUAAAGAUUAAAGCUAGUCAGAUAUUUUGGGAUAUUUCAGUUAAACAAAUCUCUGUAUUUCAAAGCAAAAACGAUAGAUAAUACUGUUUUUGCUGGUGGAAAAUAAGCUAAUCGUCCUUGUUGCCUGAAGACUGCUUUUCAGCAGAACGGCCAGGCCCUGCCUUCACAUAGAGAUGUUACAGGCUCUGAGUGAAUGGAAUAGGUGUCCAGGCCAGGUAGGACUUAAAGUUUCUAACAACAAAUUAAAUGGUUGUUGUCGAGCAGAGUGAGUAGAGUUUCAUGAGUUACAUGAAGGAUUGUAGGUGUGGGUGCCCCUGAGCCUCCUCACACUUCAGUGUAUUUGCGAUGUUGCAUUGAUGCUGUUCCUGAGCUAGGGAUUCAGAAUUAAGCUGACGGAGCCCACGCCACGUGAACUCCAAUUCCCACUGCAGUGUCCUUGAUCCACACUGACAUUCCAGAGCACCCCCGUUCCGCUCUGCAGCAAAAGUUAAGACACCAGAAGCCUUUGUAAAUGAUCCCUGAACAUUCAAGCAUGUUCCUCCAGUCAAAAACCAAUACAAUGCCAAGGAUUUACAGGAAUUGUUUUGGAAAAUUAUAUACAUUGAAUUAGCCCACUCUUGUUCAAAAUCAUUGCACAUCCACUCUUGGAUAGAACAGUAUAAUGCAUGUAAAGCACUUGUCAAUCCAGACAGCUAUAUAAAUCUUAGUUAUUUUUAUAGUAUAAUUGACAGAGCUCUCAUCUUGAGUCAUCUAGCAAAUAAUUUAUAAGUGCCUACUACAUGCCAAGCAACAUUCUGGGCCCUGGGGAUAAAGGAAGGAAAACAGAUAAAAAUUCCCCAACCUAAUGGAACUUGUAGUAAGGGAGGAGAAAAUAAACAAGACCAAUAAGUAAAAUAACUUGUGCAUUAGAUAAAAAGAUAUGCAAGAGAAAAACAGAACAAAAAGGAGGGGUAUAUAUACUGGGGAGGGUGAGAACUUUAGGUAAAGUAGCAAGGAAGGCCUCCCCCAAGGGUGAUAGCUGGGUAAAGUUGAGGCCAGUGCAGCUGCAGUGCCUUGAGGGGUUUGGGAGGUGGGCGGUGGAGGGAGUAGGAGAUGGGGCCAGGGAUAGCAGAGCCCAAACUGUCUAAGGGAAUAGCCUUAAGGGACAUUUUAAUGAUGUUGGCUCUUACUCUGGGUGAGAUGGGACGUCACUGUAGGACUCCGAACAGGGAAACGGCACAAAUUUUAACUUCAUCACUGGCUUCUUCUUUGAGCUCUUUCUUGACCUCGGUUGUCUUGUCAUUGAAAAAAAAGGCAGCAAGUGUGGUUGUGUGCCAGGCCUAUCCUCCCACUUAAUCCCGCUGUUAGAUUUUAUGAUCUCUGCUUUAUUUUAGAGGCUAACGAGGGUAAGUAUCUGCCUAGAGUCAUGGAGCUAGUAACUGACGAAGCUAAGGUGGAAUUGAGUCUGUUAUUUUCUGUUCUAAUAACCGCAUCACCUUUCACAAAAUAAAUGCAUCUAUCAGAAGAAUUGGUGGACCAAUCUUGGGGACAUGGGGAGGCAAAGUUGAGUCACAGAGAGCCCUGGUUGAAAUAUAGGUUCCAUUUGGACAAAGUUCAGUUUACAAGGGACUUUCACAUCCAUGCCUCAUUUGAUAAGCAUGAUGGUACUAAAGCACCAUUGCCCGGAUUGCAGAGGAGGCACUUGGUAAGGUGUAGAAAGCAGAAUUUCAGAUGAUAGUCCAACACUGUAUUCUUCGCAACCUUCUCACUGCUGGACACCCAAGGACUCAGUAAGAGGGAACAGGAGAAAGAACAUGACUUCAAAACCUAGCUCAGAUGUUACCUGUCAAGUUAAGAAUUAGAAACACAAGUCCUGCAACUGGGCUUAUGAACACAGUUGAUCCCUGGGAGGUGGGGUGAUCCCCAGGAGAAAACAGGCAAAUCUGACUCGGGUCCCACACACUGCAGUCAUUAUUUUACUGUGUCUUAUAGGCUGUGCUUUGCUUUACGGGCUUAGAUCUACAUCUAAUUUGGUUCCCCUUCAAUAUUUCAAUCUUCAUUCAGGGCUCUGCUUCCCUGGGUCCACCCACGCCCUGUGUCCCCAGCUUGACCCGACAGCUUCCAUGAGUAAUCGGGUCUCCACCCUGGGGAUACCCUCCCAUCUGCAGGCUGCAUCUGCACUUGGCUUGGGACAGCCUUGGCCAGGGCUGCAGGGUGUUCCCUCGUGGCCGCCUGCCUCUGCUCCCUGCCCUUUGCCUCCCUCUGGUGGGCACAGUGGCCAUCCUGGCAGCAGGGCUUGGUCAGGGCCUUUGAAGUGACCUGCUGUGUCAGACUCUUUGGGGCUUAAUGUGGGUCAAACUCAUCUGCAGAGCUUGUUUUGAACACACAUUGCCAGGCCCCAGCCCCAGAGUGUUUGAUUCAGUCAGCCUGGGGUGCAUCCUGAUAAUGUGCAUUUUUAAACAGGUUCCCAGGUGAUGCUGAUGCUGCAGCACACUGAGGAAGCCACUGCUGCAGUCCCACCAGUUCACGGAAAGUGGCUGCAGUGUGCAAAUGUUUCAGAACUGCUGGGGCAGAGACCAAGGCCCUUGUUCCCUGAAACAUUGAUUAAGACGCCUAGGCUUCUCUGAUGCCUGGGUCCAUGUAUUUAACAAACGUUUAUUGCAUACACAAUGCGAGGUGCAACACAGUAGGCACAGCAGUCAUGACACACCCCCAGCACCUCACAGUCAGAGGAAAAACAAGGACAAAAGAGCCACAUUUAAGCAGAAUUAGAUUCCAAGCUGCAGUACAACAUUUUUGAGGAACUACCCCCCUCCAGGAUUAAAGUGUUUACUUUGGGAAAGUCCUUCUAAUAAUGGUAUACUUCCAAAUUCAUCAAUAAAAGACUUCAGCAGUUAAAAAAUAAUUAUCAUCAAGGAUAACAUUUUCAGACUACUGACUUUGCUCCAGGUCCUUUCAAAGUGUUGAUUCAUUUAUUCCACACAACAGCCUAUGGAAGUAGAUUCUGUUAUUUCCCCCCAUGUUACAGAUGUGAAAACUGAGAUACAGAGGGUUAAGUGACCUGCCCAGGACCACACAGAGAGGAAGAGGAGAAGUUAAGAUUCACACCCUACCGAUCUGGACGUUAUAGUCCAUUCAUAAAAUGAUUGUGAUACAUUUGAAAGCUAAAAAUGUUUUUUUUUCUGUUGAAAAAGUAACAAACACAUGUAUAAAAUCUGAAAUUUAAAAGGAGUUACAAUAUUUUCAAAAUUCCGCCAUGUCCCCACCACCCAGAGAGCUGCUGUUUACCUUCUGGUCUGCCAACUUCUUUAGGAACAAGAGAACUGCAAAUAUAUGGUACCCAAUUGAGAUACAGAAAAUUGUUGUAAUCUACAUUUUAUAUAAUGGUGCUUAGAAAUACAAUCUACACAUAAUUAUACAAAAUGCAUGUCUAUUGAAAAAAACUGAAUAACAGUAGAAAGAACAAAAUAAGAAUCAUUCAAUACUUCAGGAUUACAAAUUCAUACUCCAAGAGCUUACGAGAAUUAAAUGGAAAUUAAAGAACAUCUGUAUAGAUGCAAGAUAACGAGAUGAGGAACAUGUCUCUACAUAAAUAUUCACUGAAUUCCUGAUUUUCAUUUUUACACUGACAUUUUUACUUUGUGCCUUUAUGUUAUCAUUGAAGAUGUCCCUUCAGAUACUUCAGAUAUUUUACUUUACAUUUUAAUGGUUUUAGUGUGGUGGAGACACCCUGAGAAGCUACUCAAUCUUUCUCAUUCAGUAAUUUUCUAUUUUUCAUCUUAACUCAGGACAAAAAGACACAAACAGUUUAUGAUGUUAGAGAAAGAGUUGAAAGUAAAAUUGGUAGACAUAUGGAUUGUUAAUUUCUCUAGAGGAUCCCAAGGGAAAUAGAAAUAUUUUAACUGAGUGUUUUACAUUGUUAACUCAAUGCUUUGUCAUAUGUUUU